CGAGUAAAAGUCGCCGGGAAUUUAAUGGGAAAACUAAAAUUUAUUUAGAAAAAACUUCAAAUACCCGCAUUGUUGUUUUAUUUUUUCUCACUUUAGUACUAUGUGGUUUAAAGUGUAUCAAGUUAGUACUUUGUGGUUUUGCACUUUCUAACUUUAGUACCGUGUGGCUUAAAGUGUAUCAAAUUAGUACUAUGUGGUUUCGCACUUGAUACAAAAAUAAAACUAUAGGGUACUAACUUGAUACAAAAAUAAAAUCACGGAGUACUAACUUGAUAUACUUUAAACCACAAAAUAUUUAGAUGAGAAAGUGUAAAACCAUAAAAUACUAAAAUAAAAAAGUACGAAAUCACGGGAGAUUUUUGAAAUUUUACUAUUUAUUUAUUAUCCUAAACAAAGAAGUGGCGUACAUAUUCGUACGUACCUUCUGCCCCCUCCCAAAGUCAACAUAGCUACUUUUUAAGUACUAUUUAACAACGUAGCUUAAUAAUAACGUUCAAUACACGAUCCAGCUAACUCUCUAAGAUACCCCAAAAAAAAAAAAACAAAAAAAAGAGGGAGGAGAGGAGGAAUUGAAACAUGCACCCUUCGCUGCUCAAACUCUUUAUCCUAUUAUUUCUUAUUUUCUUUUCCCCGGCAUCGUCCUCUGUCACAGCUGCCGCCCCCACUGCUUUACCAAACUGCCUCGACAAAUGCGGGAACAUCACGAUCCCCUAUCCCUUCGGCACGUCCUCGAAUUGCUACCACAACAGCGGCUUCUACAUCGCCUGCAACGCGACCUACGACCCGCCGAGAGCGUUCGUCUCGACCACCAACAUCGAGCUCACCGGCAUCUCCCUUUCCGAUGCCACCGCCACCAUCCUCACUCCGAUAGCCCACGACUGCUACGCCCCGCUCGGCCUCGGCCCCGACAUCAACAACAUCUGGACCGACGUCUCCGGCCUCCCCUACACCUUCUCGCACACGCGCAACAAGUUCACCGCCCUCGGCUGCGACACCGUCGCGCUCAACUUCGAGUACAACGUCCUGGACUACUCCAGCGGGUGCGUCUCGUUCUGCGACGACCAGUCGAGCAUCGCGAACGGCACGUGCUCCGGCAUCGGCUGUUGCCAAACAUCAAUACCCAAAGGGAUGCAUAGAGUGUACACGGUGCUGAGGAGUUUGAGGAACCACACAACGACGUGGAACGUGAGCCCCUGUAGCUACGCGUUCGUGGUGGACCAGGAACAGUUCGUGUUUAAUUUAACGGAUUUGUACGGGUUUUACAGCAAAAAUGAGGGGAAGGUCCCCACGGUGAUGGAUUGGGCCAUUGGGAAUGCCACGUGUCAGCAGGUGAAUGGCACGGAGAAGUUCUCCUGUGGAGCGAAUAGUUACUGCGUCGACAACGACAAUGGGCCGGGUUACAGGUGUAACUGCAAUAGUGGGUACCAAGGAAAUCCUUAUUUAGCCGAUGGGUGCCAAGGUAAAAAUAAAGAUUUUUACAGGGGUUAAUUGCAAAUUUUAUUCUUAAAACCAGCUAUUAAUUAAGUACUGUAACUCUUUUUAUGUACUUAAUGAUGAUACUAAGAAAAUAAUGUAAUUUUUUUUUUUCUUUUCCUCUGAAUCAUUUUACAGAUAUCGACGAAUGUGCGGAUCCGGGCACGAGUCCGUGCGCCGGAAUCUGUGAGAACACGCCGGGCAGCUACGCCUGCUCGUGCCCGCAGGGCUACUACGGCGACGGCAAGAAAUCCGGGAGCGGCUGCAUCAACAAGCCCAAGAAAUUCCCCCUCAUCCAAGCUGUUCUUGGUAAUUAAUUAGCAAUUAAUUACGCUCUAACUGUAUUAACUAAUGAUGUUAAUUAAUUAAUUAACAAAUGAUUGUUGUUUAGGUAGUGGAUUGAGCUUCUUGUUCCUCCUAGUGAGCGGCUCGUGGGUGUACUGGAUAUACCGAAAGAGAAAGCUAAUCCAACUCAAGGAGAAGUUCUUCAAGCAGAACGGGGGAUUGCUGCUGCAGCAGCAGAUCGCGUCCCGGGAGGGCGCAGCGGAGUCGGCGGCGCGAAUAUUCACCGCGGAGGAGCUCAAGGCCGCGACCGACGACUACAGCGAGAGCCUCGUGCUUGGCCGCGGCGGCUACGGCACCGUCUACAAGGGCGUCCUCCCCGGCGGCCGCGUCGUCGCCAUCAAGAAGUCGAUGGUCGUCGACCGCACGCAGAUCGAGCAGUUCGUCAACGAGGUCGUCUUGCUCUCCCAAGUCAUUCACAAGAACGUGGUCCGGCUCCUCGGCUGCUGCCUCGAGACCCCCGUGCCGCUGCUCGUCUACGAGUUCGUGUCCAACGGCACGCUGCACCACCACAUCCACGGAGCGCCGUCGUCGCUGUCGUGGGAAACGCGGCUGCGGAUAGCCGCCGAGACCUCUGCUGCGCUGGCUUAUCUUCAUUCUGCCAUCGCGCGCCCUAUCUUCCACCGCGACGUCAAGUCCGCGAACAUCCUGCUCGACAACAACUACAUGGCAAAGGUACCUACGUACAUACCGUUUAGCUUCAAAGUUUAAGCUGACAGAGAACGGUAAAUAUAUUUUACUGUAACGUUUUACGUGAUCGGCAGGUGGCGGACUUUGGGGCGUCGCGGCUGAUCCCGCUGGACCGGACGCAGAUCACGACGUUGGUGCAGGGGACGUUGGGGUACUUGGACCCGGAGUAUUUCCAGACGGGGCAAUUGACGGAGAAGAGCGACGUGUACAGCUUCGGAGUGGUGCUCGCGGAGCUUCUGACGGGGCAGAAGCCGCUCUCGCAGCGGCGGCCGGAGGAGGAGAGGAAUCUGGCUAUACAUUUCCUGCUGCACAUGCGGGAGAACCGGUUGUUUCGGAUAGUAGAGCCCAGAGUGAGGAGCGAGGGGAGUAGGGAGCAGCUAUCGGCGGUCGCGGAGCUGACGCAGCGGUGUCUGAGGCUGAGAGGGGAGGAGCGGCCCGAGAUGCGGGAGGUGGCGGCGGAGCUCGAGAGGGCGAGGAGGGGGCGGACGGCGACAGAGGACGCGGCGGCGGACGCCGAGGGGGAGACGGAGAGUUCGCUUGGGAGGAGAGGAGAGACCAGGUACUACACUGCGGCGCCUGUGAUGAUCCAUACUACUGGGGACGUGGACUUGGAUGAGCAUAUCCUGUUGUCGCUGGAGAUGCGGAGGUGAUUAAUUGGCUAGUUAAUUACUAUUGGUUGUUUAAUAAUGUGUUGUGUUGUGUUUAGCUAAUUAGGGGAGGGGAUUAAUGCAUAUGGUUGACACUUUUUUCUUUUCUUUCCAUUUUGUAUGUGUAUUUGAAUAAGUUGAAUAGAAAUGCCUAAAUAAGUGUAGUUAAUUUGUAAUGGUUUGUACGGUUUGACUUCAAAUGUACCUAGAUCAAUAAAUUAAGAUGUCCAUUUUGGUCCCUUGACUAAAUUUGAAACCUUACUAUCAUUCACCUUGGGUAAGCGACAAUUUAGCUUAAUGGUUAUUAUUCAAAUCCUAAGUUCAUUUUUUUAUUUUAACUAAAUCUAUUUUUUAAAAAAAUAUAAACAAAAUAGAUUGCAUGCUAUUUUUCUUUAGAAAAAAAAUAAAAAUGUAAAAGGCUCAUAAAUGCCCGAGAGUUUGAGAAAAAUCCAAUAAGAUCAAAUAAUCACUUUUUUUUAAAAAAUAAUUAAAUAUUCGAGAAAAAUUGAUUUAUUUGAACAAAAGAGACGUAACAACUUUAGCCAUGAACUCUUUUUUUUUAAUUAAAAAAAGGGGGGGGAAAUUGGUCAUGGGCUUUUGGCUUUGGGACCCAAUGGAUAAUGCUUUAGGAGACAUGUGGCAUCAGAUUUUUGUAUUGUUCUAAUUUGAAUCUCCCAAGCCACCAAUUGAACUCAAAGCCUUAAUUUCUUGUUGACUAGUCCUCAGUCAACUCCAACCACCUCUCUCUCUCUCUCUCUCUCUCUCUCUCUCUCUCUCUCUCAUCCAAAUAAUAAUAAUAAUAUCAAUAAUAAAUAAAUUAAAAAGUGAAAAUUGUUGUCCACAAUAAAGAAAGAACAAACUAAAAUAUGAUUGAUAAAAAUAGUAAUAUUAUCAUCAACCUACCACAAUCAUAAUUGAGAAAAAGAGUAAGACUUUAAAAAGUACUAUUCAUGCACAUGAAUUACCAUGUGUUAUGUAUGAAUAUUAAUUAGUGAUGUAUUGGUGAUCUUCAUAUAGGGAUAUUCGAGGGUACCUAUCUUUAGAAAAUUCUCCAACUAUAUAACAAGCUUGUAAUUAUAUAAUAACCAACCCCCUUAACACGUCACACAAUUGGAGCAUUCAAUAAUAUUAAUUACUAAAAUACUAAUAAUAAUAUAAUUUAGCAUGCUAAAUUUGAGCAAACUCUCAUGAACAUCACUAUAGUGGACGACCCUUUUGACUAAUCUUCUCCAUUAUUUAAAUCGAGAAAGGAGCAUUUAUUUACCUAGUCAAUAUCCUUCCAACUAUCAUAUAUGUAAUAAAAAUUCUAUCAAAAUAAUGGCUCUUCGACAUUAUAUCCAUAAUUAUAUUCAUGAACCAAUGUAUGCGCUUGACUCAUAAACAAUUAAUUCAUAUUUUUCCUAUAGUUUUUUUUUAUUUUUUUUGAGAGAUAGAGAUAGCACACUACCCGUUUCGUUUAUUUCAUUUAAAAAUAAACUUAGCUGGAAAUAUGAAUAAACUAGAAUUUGAAUAUGGGUCUCGAGUACCAACCACCAAGUCCUUUGGCACUUGCUCUAGGAAUAGUUGAUAAAAUUUAUCACUAAUUACUAGAGUUGAUUUAGAUUUCACUCGCAAUUGGUAUCAUUAUUAUUUUUUUAAUUUUAAUUUUUAUAUAUUUAAAUGUUUCUUUAUUAUUAUUAUUAUUAUUAUUGGCCAGUAUAUAGUGCAACAAGAAAAAGACAAGUAAUAUAUUUUGUAUUUUUUAGCAAACAAUUGAUUAUUCAUUUGUACAAUUCAUUACAUAUUAUUUUAUAUUUCGAAUAAUAUAAUAUUAUAUUUUCAGUAAUGAAAAUGACAACAAUCCUAACCAAAUCCUUAGAGCGCGUUUGGUUUGCGUUAUAUAAUAUUACAGAUUAUUUCGACAUAUUCAGAUAUUUUGAAUUUUUAAAUGAGAUUACUACUGAUUAUGUAUUAGCACGUUUGGUUUGAUGCAGUAUUGUAAUGCUGGAUUGCACUAUAUAUAGUAUUACUAUUUGAUCAGUUUAUAAAAUUUAGUAAUUCUAAGCUAUUCUAAAAUUGCCCUUUCAUAUUUGGCAAUUUUUUUACUAUUUACAAAUAAUAAAUUUUUUACGAAAUUUUAUUUUAAAUAAUAUAAAAUUCAGUAAUGAAAAUGGCAAGUUUCCCAUUGUGGUAGGUGCGCGCGAAAAAGAGCGAGGUGAGAAAUAGAAAUUAGUUUAGAAAAAAAAAAAGAAGAGAAAAGUAUAAGUAAAUCUACAACAAAUUAAAUUUCGUAGGAAUUAGGGGUAAAAAUAAAAUUGGGCAAAGAAAGGGACCGCGCAAUGAACUCCACCCCUCGUUCAAAGCAAGUAGAACAAUUCAAUCCCCUCCACCACGAAAAAUCCCCAAAUUCUCCCUCUUCUUCGAACCCCAACCCUUAGCCUAAUCCCCAGUUUCUCCCUUUUUGUGCGAUUUUUGUAUUAUCUCGAUCGCAAAGGUGAGUCUCUUUUCUCUGUNUUUUAUUUAUUUUUUAUUUUUAUAUAUUUAAAUAUUUCUUUAUUUUUAUUAUUGGCCAGUACAUAAUGCAGCAAGAAGAAAAUAAGUAUUAUAUUUUGUAUUUUUUAGUGAACAAUUGAUUAUUCAUUUGUACAAUUCCUUACAUAUUAUUUUAUAUUUCCAAUAAUAUAAUUUUAUAUUUUCAGCAAUGAAAACGACAACAAUCCUAACCAAUUCCUUAGAGUGCGUUUGGUUCGCGUUAUGUAAAAUUACAGAUUAUUUCGACAUAUCUAGAUAUUUUGGAUUCUGACUGUAUUAGCGCGUUUGAUUUGAUGCAGUAAUGUAAUACUGGAUUACAGUAUAUAUAGCAUUACUGUUUGGUCAGUUUAUAAAAUUUAGUAAUAAUAAUAUAUCCUAAAAUUGCCUUUUCAUAUUUGGCAAAUUUUUUUAUUAUUGAAUAAUAAUAAUUUUUGUACUAAAUUUUAUUUUAAAUAAUAUAAAUUCAGUAAUGAAAAUGGCAACAAUCCUAAUCAAAUCCUUAAAUUAAUUAAUCGGUUGGGAAACGAAAAUCGUUGCAACGGCCGUUUCCCUAUGUGGUAGGUGCGCGCGAAAGAGGGCGAGGUGAGAAAUAGAAAUUAGUUUAGAAAAAAAAAAUAGAAAAAUAUAAGUAAAUCAACAACAAAUUAAAUUUCGUAGAAAUUAGGGGUAAAAAUAAAGGCAAAGAAAGGGACCGCGCAAUGAACUCCACCCCUCGUUCAAAGCAAGUAGAACAAUUCAAUCCCCUCCACCACGAAAAAUCCCCAAAUUCUCCCUCUUCUUCGAACCCCAACCCUUAGCCUAAUCCCCAGUUUCUCCCUUUUUGUGCGAUUUUUGUAUCAUCUCGAUCGCAAAGGUGAGUCUCUUUUCUCUGUUUCCGAUUCGUCGUGCCGUUAAGGUGCUCGACAAAAGGUUUCAGAGAGUUAUUAGCGCAUAAAGCGUUGAUUUUUAAUGGUUCUGUUAACUGGUGUGUUUCUGUUACCAUUUUUGUUCCAUUUAAUCCUUAUUUAUGGAUUCAGUGUUCAGUUUCAAUCGGUUAUUUGAUGCUUUAAGUGAUCAUAUUGAUCAUAUUGUUCGUUCCCUUUUUGAUCUAUUCCUUAUUUGGAAUUGGAUGGGUAGUUGUUUCUCCCCUAUUUUCUAAGUUAAUUUUUAAGUUAUUAUAUUUAUUUCUUCUCAGGAUCGGAGGCUAAAGGAACUCUAAGAGGUGUUAUUGUGGAUCAGAUAUAUCUAAAAAAGACCUCUGUUUGGUGAAUAAAAUGGCAAAAGUGUUGCAGCAUCAGGACUCUAAUGCAUCAUAUUGGAAGAGCUUUCAAGGUUGUACAUGGGGCUUGCUUCAAUUCUUCGACUUCCAACAACGUUUACAUGUUCGACGGAUGCUUUCGAACAGGCGACAUGCUGAUGAAAAAUACUCUGGAGGUAACUAUUGACCUUUUACCAUGAUUCUUUUUUUAAAAAAUUUUGAUUUUUCGUUAUAUUGGCACCUACUCGGGUCUUCAAUUUUGGUGAAAUUUGUGUUUGUUUGGUAGAUAACUGGGUUCUUGUUUCUCUCCAUAGGAGCUUAGCUAAUUUUAGCUCUUUACAUGAAAAUUCGGAGCAAAGAAACACAAAAUAUGAAUAAUAUUUUAAGGAAUUCAAAAUAUUGUUCUGAAGAAAAGAAUAAGCUGUAUGACCUUGUUUUUCUUUUUCUUUUAACUUUUCUCAGUAUAAAUUAAGUUACAUCACCGGUAGCAGCUUUUGAAGGUACUAGUAUAUUGAUCGUAAUUUCCGCUGCAGGAACAAAGCUUUCGGGGUCAUAUGUUUCUCUUACUGGCAAAGAUCAUGGCGACAUGGAUGAUGAAACAAAGUUCAAAGUAAGUUUAGUUAAUAUACUUCUUUAGCAUGCUUUGCAGUUUUGCUUUGAAUUGGAGUUGCUUCGUCGGUAUCAUAUUUGUGGUGUCGAGAAAUUUAGAUUUUCCCUGAAAUACUUGUGUGUUAUUCAUUGCACUUGUAUUGCUAUAUGCUCUUCUCUGGCCCUCAGGACUAAUUUCAGCGAGCCUUCAUUACAAUUAGUACAGUGGAUGUUAUAAUGUUUUAAAUUCCUCCAGGACUCGUUUACCUAUCAUAAAUUUGACAGAAACUAGUUUUCGGAACAUCUGUUUUUCUGGGGGGCGCAAAGUGUACUUAAUUUACCAAGAAUUUUCAGUUUCAUUGGGAGUGUAACAGAUCCUGUAUUUUAUGUAGCAACUUAUUUGACCUUUUCACUUGAUCAUGGACAGAUAUGGAAAUUGAAUGAUUGGAAUGUAUUUAAAUGAGGAAGGGUAAUGGACUUAUAAGCAUACCUAAAUGUAUAGCUGGCAAAAGAGGAAACUCUGCAGUUAUUUAUGUAAUCUAAGUUUUUUCUUGAAAUCAAAGUUCCUCAUUUGCAUGUGACAGUCUCAUUGGGCUAUCCUGCUUUUCCUUUUGGAUGUUCUGUACAUCACGUGCUAAUAAAAAUUGCCAGUUGUCUUAAUUAAUCAGCUUUCAAAAAAAGAAAAAGAAAAAGUUGUCUUAAUUAGUUGAUACAUUAAAAGCACUUCAACUCUGAUCAAAACUUUUUAACAUAAUAAAAUUUACUUUAUGGAUUAAUCGCUUGAUGUGCUCUCAUAUUGGCUCUAAUCCGUUUAUGGUUGUCCUUUUGGUUUCAGAUGAUAAAUAAAGGCAAUUACUUAAAGGGAAAUUCUUACAAGGCUCGCAUGAGGGCUUUAAUCUCUAAAAAGAUCCACAGGAAGAAAAAAAAUAUGCUCCCUGCAGGGCCGCGACUGCUGCGUACAGUUUCCAUUCAUCAUUGGGAGUGCGAUGACUAUGUUCUCCCCAAUCAAACAGUUUCUGAUAGAAGUGCUUCUACAAUUGAUUCUACUUCAUGCAAAACUUGUUCUUCUACAUGUUGUCAACACUCUCCGCUAUUGACCAAAGAUAUACUAGUCGAUUACUCAAAAGAAAAAUCAGCAGAAGGUUUAUCGAAGCAAAAGGAAAUGGAUUCUGAAGUUGAAAUAGAUUGUGUGUUAAAAUCAAAAGAUUUUCUCGAUGCGGAGGAGGAGCUCUUAAAUACACAUGGGGAAUUCUUUCCAGAAGUUUUUGCAGAUUCAGGACUUCAUUGGGAAAAUUAUUUAGGUUUUCCUUCUCCUCUCAAAGAAAAAGGCUUAGCAAGAUCUAGCUCAUUCCCAAGAGGCAGAACAAAUCAAAGGUCGUCAAAAGCUAAACAUAAGUCCUCAACUCAAUAUACCAUGAAAAGUGAGCCGAUUUCCGAGCAUUCACCAGAUUCUCCUCAUGAAUCUAUAAUUCAGAGGGAACCUAGAACUUUUGUUGAUCACGUUAAUGACCUCAAACAGAUGAUAAAGGAUGUCUUUGAUGCAAAAAGGAAGGUGGAGCAUCGAAUCUCAAUGGAUGGGGUUUUGGAUAGAGUUCCUUAUGGCCAAAAGGUUUCUGAUGACGAGAUUAAACCAAAGCUGUUUCGAUCUACCUCAGCAAGAUCAUAUAGAGAAACUUCAAGAGAUAGGUUUGAAAUACCUGCUAAUAGGAAUCCACAUGAAAGAAUGAGUAGGUCUCGCUCUCUUGCCGAAUCUGUGGAUAAGUACUCUCACUUGCUUGCAUCUGCUUCGCACAAAGAAGGUAACAAAUUACGUGACAGAUCAAUUUCAAACAAAGAAGGUUUUUCCCAGGACCUGAGGACUCGAAAUGCUUUUCAAAGAAUUGUUUCUACUCCUGAGUAUAGGUCAUAUCAUUUAAGUAUGGAUAUGGAUGCUGACAAUGAAGUACUUCAUGAAGCUUUAUCAUUGAAUAUCUCAACCACAAGUGUUUUGGAUGAGCGACAAGCAAUAGAUGAAGAUGCUACCGAGACAGUAGAAAAUGAGAAGAACAAUACAUGGGAGGUUUUCGAUUUGACCGAAGAGAAGGUGAUUGAUGUUCCUUCUACUGAUCAGGAGACCGAAGUUCUGGAACAGGGAGUGCUAAAUUUUGAUUAUGAGAAGAAUGAUAUUUGUGAGGUUUCAGAUUCAGUAAAUGAAGGCACGAGUAGUGCUCCUUGCAAUGAGCAGGAAAUUGAAAUUAAACUGGACUCAAACUUUGAUCCGAUGAAGCCGAGCCCAACAUCUGUUCUUGAAUUGAGCCCUUCAGACGAUUCUGUUAGUCCUGUGAAAUAUAAAAUUUUGGAAGGUAAUGUUUCUAAACAUAAAUGGCUUUGUAGAGAUAUUAAGUAUACCACCAUUAUAAAAACUGUAUGCAAUUUCAGUUUAUUACAACUAAUUCUUAUGUAAUUAUUCUAAGUGCAAGAUAUAGGUUGCCUUACUACUUUUAUGCUUUUUUAUCUCCAUCCUACUAUAUGAAUCUAUGAUAUCAGAUUGUUAUGGCGGUACGGAGAUGUACAUAGUUUUACUACGAACAUCAAACUUGACUUGUUUUUCUUUUCCUACUUAUAAGAACUGAAUCGCAUCUUUUAAUUGUGUGCUUUUUUCAACCAGAUUCAGACGUAAAUUGUAGAAGCCUUGAUUGCAAUGAGCUGGCUUCUUCAACAAAUUCAAAACUGUCGGACUUUGAAGCACCUUCUUGGGUGGAAACUACUGAACCAACUUGUGAUACUACACAGCAAAAGAACCCUGUUUAUUUCGAAGCACUUAAGAUUGGGCUGGAUCAAAUGAACAGGACUGAGUUCCAUUAUCUAAAACGUGUUCUUGAAAAGUAUUGCUUCAGCAGUGAAGAGUCUUUUGAAACUUGGUACUCUCUCAACCAACACGAUGCAGAUAUUUCAGCAUUCAUCUCCAAUAAUAUUUCUAUUGACGAAGAGCUUUUGGUUGAUCUCAUAAACGAAGCAUCAUACCAAAUUCACGAAAAACAUUCAACUCAGAACCUUUCUUUCUCUCCUGUUGCUUUUCGUCCUAGACGGAAGCCUGCGGGGUACCAUCUCCUUAAUGAGUUGUGGGCACGAAUUAGUUCGCAUCUUGAGCCACAAGUGAAGUCUAAUUACAUGCUUGAAAGUGUCGUGGCUCAGGACUUUGCAAAAAAUGACGGAUGGUUGGACCUUCAAUUGGAUGCUGAGGGCGUGGGGGUGGAAUUGGAAGGUGUCAUAUUGGAUGAUUUAAUCAAUCAGUUAAUUCUCGAUGUUGAUGAAUUCGCCCUUUCUCAGUUGAUAUACUCCGAGUAAGUACUCUACUAAGACACAUAUACAAUACACAAUUCUUUUCCACUCAAUUUUUUUGUAGUGCUCUGUAGUAUAAGCAAUGCUAUCAUUUACAUUCGUUCUGUAUAGACACCAACAAAUCAACACCUAAGGCAUUGUAGUAAUGUUGUAUAUAAGGUAAUGAAUAAAAGAGAAGAUGUAGUAGAUAGGUUGUGGUCAACCAAAGGUGUCUGUUGAGAUCUUGUGGCCCCUUUUUUCUCUGUAGUUGUUGGUGAGAUUUUUCUUAGAGGAGUUCUUGUAUAAGCAAUUAUUUUGGUGAAUAUAGUGAACUAAUAAUGUUUUGCCGCUUGAAUCCUUAAUUUGUUAUUUCUUUAGUUUCCUGUGUUGAUAGAGGUUGUCAGAUGGUUUGAUUGGUUUGGAUAUUUGGUGUGUCUUGUUCUUUUUUAUCAACUGUGGAGAUGCUGAUCUUGUUCUAAACUAUUCUGCUAAAAGCCACAACAACAAUGGUACAAUAUAUAUUCAGAUCACCAAUAAUUACAGCAAGAACAAAACCCACCUUUGAAAUGAUGAAACCUCUUGUUGUCUCUCACCACAAUAUCCCUCCCCACAACUUUCGACACCAGCUUCGCCGCAUUAUGGCAAUCCCUGCACAUCCUAAUGUUCUUAAAAACCCCAAUCUUUGUCCCUUUGCUGGUCUUUAAAAGCCCAAAUGCUAUGGCUUGCUUCUCACUGUGACACCUCAACACCUCAACCUUCUCUUCCUCCUCCAACUCAUGAAGCACUGAACUUGUAUCUGGAACAUAACCUAUUCUUCGUAUCUUUUCCUCCAAAACAUUCCACAUUUUCCGAAUCUCAGUCGACUCAGGAACCCUAGAAUCACCUGCGACAAAGCUAUAAACAUUACCACCAAUGUCAAUCCAGCUGCAACCUGGGUCUUUGAAGAGGCCAUUUUCCUUAAUUCUCUUUCUAAUUCUUCUUACAUCAUCCCACCUCCCAAAACCUGCAUAUAGAUUAGAAGCCAAAACAUAGUGUUCUGUUUUGCUAGGCUCUAACUCCAUCAGCUUCUCCGCAACUUUCUCUCCCAAGUUUAUGUCUCCAUGAAUUCUACAUGCACAAAGUAGUGUACUCCACAUUUUUCCGUCUGGCUCUUGGGGCAUUUCUUCGAUCAGUUUUACUGCAUCGGCCAAUCGACCGGCUCUACCAAGCAUGUCGGCUACGCACGCAUAGUGCUCUAAUUUUGGCUCCAACCCAUGAUUGGUUUUCAUCUCCUCGAAGUAAUUCAAUCCUUUUUCAACCAUUCCAGCAUGGCUGCAUGCCAUUAAUAAACCGACAUAUGUAAACUCAUCGGGCUUCAUCCCCUCUCUCUGCAUCUCAUUAUAUAGUUUGAUGGCUUCGUCGGCGUACCCAUUAACCCCGUAUCCUGUGAUCAUCACGGUCCACAAAACCACGUCUUUGUUUUGCAACCUGUCGAAGAAACUUCUAGCUUGUUCGACAUACCCACACUUUGCGUACAUGUCUAUGAUCGAGCUACCGAUAAAUGGGUCUUCAGUGAACUCCGCCUUCAAUGCGAAACAAUGAGCCUCUUUCCCUAAUCGGACAGCCGACAACUGAGUGCAAGCCAUGAAUGCGCUUGUCGUGGCAAUAAUCGAAGGACGGUUACUACUAAUUAGCAUUUUGCGGAAGAGAUUAAGGGAUUCCUCGGGCAACCCAUUCUGAGCAUACCCAGCAAUCAUAGCAUUCCAAGAAACCAAAUCCUUCUCCUCCGUUUCAUCGUAUAAUAACCUUGCAGUAGAUUCUUUUCCACAUUGUAUGUAAAGAGAUAGAAGAGAGAUGUUAAUGAAUGAAUCUUUCUCCAAACCAUUCCUUAAAACGAACCCAUGAGUCGAUUUCCCAUAUCGGAGAUGCUUCAUAUUAGCACAAGCUAAAAGCAAGCUGCCGAUAGUAAACCAAUCAGCUUCAAACCCUAAAGAAGACAUCUGAAGGAAUAGAUCUACUGCGAUGUUAGGAUCGCCAUUUUGGGCGUGACCGCCGAUUAGGGCAUUCCAUAAGCUCACGGUCUUAAUCUCAGUUCCAUUGAAUACGUCAUUGGCAUAAUCGAGCGACCCACACUUUGCGUAUGCUGCGAUUAGGGCAUUCGGUACCAACUCGUUGAUCUCCAACUCAUUUCUAAUCACAAAACAAUGAAUUUCUUUCAAUUUCGAAAGCUCUGAUCUGCUUGAAAAAGCCGGUAGGACAUUCAAGACCGUGACUUCAUUUGCAUUUAUUCCCUCCCCCGUUUGCAUUUCGCGCAAAAGAUUGAAUGUCUCAGCAAUAUCUCCAUUCCUCGCAUAGCCACCAAUCAUGGCAUUCCAAGAAACCACAUUUCGUCGAGCACUUUCAGAAAACAAGCACUCCGCGUCCGGUAAAUUACCGCAUUUCGCAUACAAAUCGAUCAACGCAUUGUUCACUCUCAGCUCAUGAUCCAAGUCCAAUUUCACUGAUAAUCCAUGAACCACCCUCCCCAUUUCAACCCAUCCUCCUACUGUGCACAUCGGAAGUACCGUCACCACCGUCGCAUCGUCCGGUCUCAUACCACCUUCGCCGAUCGCCAACAUCUCCCUAAACAAAUCAAAACCCUUAUGCAACAACCCAUUCUCAGAAAAAACGCAUAUCAUAGUAUUCCAAGAAACUAAAUUUCUGUCGGGCAUUUUGUCGAACACGCGAACCGCGUCGUCGACGGAACCGCACUUCCCGUACAUCGACAUCAACGAAUUGCUCACAAAAGUGUCCGCGCCCAACCCCAAUUUCACAGCUAAUCCAUGAACGGUUUCCCCAAGCCCCACAUCCAAAACCCCCGCGGAGGACUUUAACACGCAGGGCAGAGUAAAAGUAUCGGGCUUGAUAUCGGUGUCGGAGAUCAAUCGCACGAACACGUCGAGCGCUUCUCCAAAAAGCUCGUUUUUGGCGAGCCCGCUGAUCAUGGCGUUCCACUGGAACAGGUUCCGCCGCUCCAGGGCUUCGAAGACGCGGCGCGCGUCCGCGGCCGCGCCGCACGCGGCGUACAUGGUGAGGAGCCGCGUGGUGAGCACCGCGUUGCGCAGAAGCGCUUCCGAGGACGCGACGAGGCCGUGGACGCGGCGCCCCGCGUCGAGGUCCCGCGCCGCGGCGCAGGAUCGGAGGAGGCGGCCGAUGGCGUCCGCAUGCGACGCCGACGCCGCCGCCGCGUCGGGGCAGAGGAGGAGGAGUCGGAGGGCAUUUUCGACAUUUCCUUCGUCCGGGGCGGGGACUAGCUCUUUUGGGGAGGGUUUGGGGGACGUUUUGGUGGAGCGGAGGGAGAGGGUCGCCGCUGCGCCUGGGGUGGUUUUGGGGGUAGUUUUGGGGUAGGCGUAGCGUUGGGUGGGGGUGCGCUUCAGAAGAGGAGGGAGAGGGGAGGUGGAGAGUGUUGAAGCAGAAGCCAUUGUAGGAUAAGAACAGUUAUCUUCUUCAAAUUUUAUAAUUUUAUAUUUACGACGAUAAAUAAAAUAUUAAAAAAAAAACACUUUUUCUGAAGUAGCAAAAUAAACGAAAAAAAAAGCUUUUUUUCAAUUAAAAAAUUGGUGUUGGAUAAAUAGAGGCGUUAACGGGGCCAAAAAUUUCGUGAGCAUCGUUUCAAAUUAUUUGGGUUAGGAACGAUGCGAAUGAAUGUCGUGUGGCCCAUUCAACAGUUGCCCAUGAAAGGAAAAAUAAAAAUAAUAUCAUGUGUUUUCAGAGAGAGAGAGAGAGAGAGAGGGGCAAAAAUGAGGGUGACUGUUGGAUAGGUCACGCAGCAUCUAUCCUUAUCGUUUCGAAACUAAUAGUUUGGAAACGGUGCCCAAAAAAAUUGUCCAGUUCUUGGACUAUUCAUUUCACGAUAUACUUUUUGUUACACACUGUAGUCUUUAAAUAAUUAUUUCGUAUAUAUUAUAUAUUUAUUUUUGUUAUUAGGAAUUAAAACUAUAAAAUAACUUUUUAAUCUUGUGUUAUCAACAUUUGGAUUAUCAUUCAUCAAUGGUCAAAUUAAUCAUUUCUCAACAGAGCAAGAAAGAAAUUACUAGCUGGAUAGAAAAACUAUAUAUAUAUAUAUAUAUGUAAUAUAAAUUAUAUUUAAGAGUCAUCAUCUUGGGAGAAUGUUUACAUGAGAUAGUAACCUUAGAAAUAGAAAUGCGUAUUUAGAAAACAUAAGCCCCGUAAAUAGCUUAUAUAUAUUUAUAGAGCUUUAUAUCUUUCUCAUUUGCAGCAGCCAAAGGUGUCACAAUUGCAGUUUGGUCCACAUUUGCAGUUGGGUCCUCCACUCUCCAUCUCAAGCCCUUCAACAUGCCUGCGGAGUCGAAUUAGUCACGUAAAUAUCAAUUUUGACAGGGGUUUGUAAGUAAUUAAAAAUAAAUUGCAUGCACGUAAAAGAGUAUAUAUAUAUAUAUAGAGAGAGAGAGAGAGAGAGAGAGAGAGAGAGAGAGAGAGAGAGGUUUUGGUAGCAAAGCUCUCUCCUCCGCUGAACCCUGGGCGCAUGUUGCACCUGCAAUGUAAGUACGUAAUGAACAAAUUAAUUACUUAAUCAGCAUCUUUACAUAAACAUCCCUAUAGAUUGAAAAUAUCACAGUUUCCUCCCCCGCAGCAGCGGUUGCUGCAGCUGCAGCUCGAAUCAGCACAGCAAGAGCACUUCCCUCCACCGCAGGACAUUUUGUUUUCUGCGGUAUGGGGAUAAAAGAAUCUGUUGCUUAAUCUCUUCAUCGCACAAGCUUGAGUAGUAGUUGUGAUUUGUGAAGGGUUGUGCUCUCUAUUUAUAGAAGUAAUGAUAGUAACAAGAGAGAACCAAACUGAGUGCGUCACGUUCACGCACAUGCAACGACAAAAAUUUUGUAAGUAGCUCUUUUUUACGAGUUGGAUAUGUUCGAAAAAGAAAAGAAAAAAUUAAAGUAGCAUUUAGAUAAAGAGAUAUUCAUAUCAAUUACACUAGCAGUAAGCCAAUAAAUAAAAUAAAUAAUCAAUCAGAACGUAUUUCAAAGCAUUAGUGUUGAGGAAAUAUCUUUCUUUGAUUAUGUUGCUUAUGUUGGUCCCAUAGUGAAUUUUAUAUCCUUUUCUUUCGAAAGAAAUGAUAUGCCAUUAUAUUCUUUAAGAAUCGUGCUAAAUUGUAUUAAUAGUACUGUUACACUUUUUAUUUGAACGGCUGUGUGAGGCUAGCUCGUAAGCAUCUCCUUUUGACUCCAUCUUAAUUCUGACCUUGGAAAUUAGAAAAUUGAUCUCAUGUUUGGGAACUACUAGUGGAUUUUAUCCUUUUGUUUUUAAUUGAAGAAAAACACUUUCUUCAACAAAAAUAAUUAGAGACAUAAAAUUUGUCAAAAUCUCUAGUUAAUUUAAUAAAAUUUUUCAGUUUAAUUGAAUGAAACAAUACAAAUCAAAAUAAAUGGAAAUUAUGGGAAUGCCAAAGAAAAAAAGAAAGAAAUUUAGAAAAAAAAAAAGGACUCAAUUUUUUGCCUUGUUGUGCAUCAUCCGAGCACUCCUAAUUCCAAGUCAGGGUAUACACAAGUCUAAAGUGAAAGUGCAAGUCUCCUCCAUUAUCUUUAGUGGAACAUGAGACUUACUUUGCUGGGUCUUUAGAAUCCUUCUUCAAUCAACAGGUCAACUGAGAGGUCUUGCAAGUUAAACUGGUUUUAAAUCAUACAUAAUAAUGUUGCUCGAUCUCUCCUCCUCAAUCUAAACAAAUAAGAUAAUAAAUCGUUAUCAGUGCAUGUGCUAGCUCCCAUUAAUUAAGUCCAUGUCUACUCCAACCUACUACCUCCUCUCCCUCUUCCUCUUCCUCUUCUUCAACUUCCAUGCUGCCAAUCCUUCUCCUCCUCCUCCUCCUCCAUGCCCUACAGCCCAGAUCUCAUGUGGAGGUAUCACUUGGGCUAUUAAGCCUCCUUUCUUCACAAACAGUGCCACAACUUCAGACCUGCAGUGUCAGAAGCUUCACCUCAUCCAGUGUGUGUAUCAGAGACUACUGGUCCAAUUCUAUGGCACAGGAUUCUUCUAUAUUGUUACAAAUAUCUCAUAUUUUGAUCGGACAAUUCAAGUCGACGAGCUCAACCUUUACCCUAGCACAUGGAAUUCUAACUGUUCCUUCCUCUAUAGUUUCAAGAAUCCCACCCCUAUCAGUAAUCUUAGCCGACUCACUUCGCAUGUAAGCGCCGCCCUCUCAUCGUUCAGCUGCAGUAUGCUGGAGAAUGAAUACAAUAAUUACCAGGACAUCUUCGGCAGUCUCCUUGGUCCUCUUUCUUGCGAGAAUUACACCCUCUUCUUUUCCAAGUAUAUAGAUGCACAAAUUGUUUUCAUGUAAUGUACUUUUAUGAUUACAUUUACAUUACUAAACUAAACGCAUGCUUAAUUUUAUUGUUUGGAAUCUGAUAGAACCAUGCAAUUGAAAAUUAAAGGUUUCGCUCUGAUUUAGGGUCUAAAUAACUAAUCCGUAGUGCAAACUUUUUUUUAUAUAUUUAUCGAUCUGCAGAGAUAGAUAUGAAUUGUCGAUCUCUAUCAUUACGUAUUAAAUAUAAAAAGAAAAAUAGUCGGAUCCAACAUAUCGAAUCUUGAUAGGUGGCAGCAUAUGUAGGGAGUGGCACUAUAAUUUUUUUUUUUUUUUUUUCUCACAAAUGUUGAUUCAUAUAUAUUGCUUUACAUAAUAUCAAGCUUCUAGUUAAGCAUCCAUUGAAUUUGCUAUGGGCAUAAAUUAGUCGGAAUCAAAGCUUAUCUCCACAUGCAGUGGACUAGACAAUCUAUGGGGCCACCAUUAACAAAAGCUUAGUGUGAUUCUUCUAAAUAUCUUUUCAAAAAACAGCUUAAUAUUAUAUAUAAUGAUUGAUAAAUAAAUCAUUCAAAUAGAAGUAGUACAAAGUUCUAAAGAUGCAAAGAAAAAAUAUAUGGGUAAGUAAAAGAUACUCCAAUUUGGUAAUGGACAAUGAGAGAUAGGAAUAUGGUGUGGCUUAAAUGAACCUGCUUUUUAUCCUAUUUCGAGUAAAUCGAAAGCAAAGAAGCCAUCCUAUGGAAAAAGGAAAUUGAUCAUUCAUUAGAAAAAUUAAAGUUCAGAGGGAUGUAAUAAUAAUACGUUUAAGGAAUAUUACAGUGUUUAAGUUACAAAUUUGUACAGAGUAAUCGAGUCACGACGCUGAAAUAAAUAGGAACUAUUACUACAUUUUUUGCACUAUGUUUGGACACUAUUAUUUGAUUCUAAUAUUUGAUUCGAGACCGAAGAGAAAAGGUCUAUAAAGAGAAGUGUAAUUUGUCGGGCUCAAACCAUGCACUGACCCAUGAUGACAAAUUAUCAUAUGCUUUUACCACUAUGGCUACUAAUUAAUGAUUGGCUCUAAUGGAUAAUAAUUGUUAGGGGAUGUUGAUAUGCCGCAUAUAUAUCCGAUUAUACAGUACAACCUAACUACUACUGUUAACAGUGUUACUACGAAUUUUGGAGGAUGGCAUUUACUAUGCAUGAGGAAUUCAAUUAAUACUUUCUUUCUUUCUUUUGUGUCACGCAUCAUUGCAUAUAUAUGUUGAAUAUAUAAAUAUUAAAACUUAUUUUUUGGUAACUCAAGCAUUUACAUAUUAGAAGCAAAAGUUUUGAACUCGAGUUUUGUCAGAUUCUUAACUUUAUUUAGUUUUCUCCCAUUUCAUUCAAAUUUACGUCAUCAACUUAACAUAAAGCCUUUAGUCCAUGCUUGAGGAGCGUGUUGAGCCUAUUUGAAAAAAUCUCGGAUCCAAAUGCAUAGCGCAAUGUUAAAUAUAAAUAUUAUAAAUACUCUUCUCUGGCAACAAUAAUAGGAAUAACUAAUCCAAGUAAAAAAUGAUCGUCUAUUAUUAUACCACCUAUACGUGGCCACACAAGAUACUUAAUCUUUUAUAUAUAUCAACAAAAACAUACAUACAUAUUAAAAGCCAUUUAAUAUAUAUCAAGGAGAAUGAUACAGGAUUGGAAAAAGUAACACAGGAUACAGCACUUUUCUCCGCUUAUUUUAUAACCAUAACCAUUCAUACAUUAUAACAUUAGAACCAGAGACCCAUCACUAUAGCAAAUAUAUAUAUAUAUAUGUCUCCCCAUAGUUUAGCUCGCAUAAACAUAUUUAUUUAUAGCAAAUAUAUAUAUAUGUCUCCCCAUAGUUUAGCUCGCAUGAACAUAUUUAUUUAUGCGCCCUUAUUUGCAUCCGCAGCAACUGCAGUUGCAGUUGGGGCCGCACGUGCUGCUGCACCCUCCUUUGUCACACUCCCCACUCGCCACCUCAAACGAUUCAAAUUUCCUGCAAAUUAAAUUCAAAAAAAAUCUCAUGCAUUUGAUUUGGUACAUAAUAAUUGUUAUCGAAAAUAUACAUCCAAAAAAAGAUAAGUUAAGAAAUAUUAUUAAAACUCUCGGUCACAUAUAUGAUGAAUAUCAGAUAAAUCAUAUUACGUGUAUCGACAGAAAAGAUAACAGAUUAAUUCGAUAAUAAGAUUCAGUACCCCUUCUGGGGAGCAGCAACGAAGAUCAUGGUUUGGGUGGUGACCAUCCCCUCUCCACUCAAAUGAGGGUACAUUUUGCACCUGCAUCCACACAAGAUCAAAAAGGAUAACAAAUUUCAAGUUAUAAUUAAUUAAUUAAGCGUAAAUGCAAAUCUGUUCGUAUAAGAAUAAAUAUUUGCAAACAGACCCUCCGCAUCCGCUGCCACAAUUGCAACCAGAGCCACAACCACAGUUCCCUCCGCAGCAGGACAUUUUCUCUUAAGAGCUUUUGCUUCAGAAUUAAAUAUGAAAACUAUUACAAAGGAUUUGGAUCUCUUAAACUUAAAGCUUGUGUGGAUAUUGAGACCAAGCCAACCUAUUUAUAGAGGAAUAGGAGAGAGAGAGAGAGAAUUGUGAACCGUACACGUGUCAGAAUCUGUCCCUUUAGAAACUAAAAUUAUAAAUGCCCUCAAUAAAUGAUGUUCAAAGGUAUUUAUAUAUCUCUUUGUUUGAGUCCAAAAUUUUUUAACAUGGCAUCGAAAUUUAGUUCACAUAGUUUAAUUUGUUAUCUCAUGCACCUUGAAGGUGAGUUUGCUCUCGUGCUAUGCGUGCGCAUGUUUUGAGUUGAUUCGAAGGUUUUUAAUUAACAUCAAUAAUAAUUUGAUCUCAAAUAUUUAAAAAGACUAAUUGCUUGUUAUAUUAGUGGCAUAUAUUUUCUAUUUAGACUAUGUUUGAUAUUGCAAAAAAUUUAUGUUUGGUGCGGUGAAAAGAUAUAAUAAAAAAAUUAUUAAAUUUUUAUGUCGUCCGAUCAGAAACAGAAAAAAAUAGUUCUCUAUAUGCUUUAGUACCGAUUCUGUUUUGUCAACUAGUAAUAGAUGAGUUUCAAUAUCAAACGGGUCCUUAGGCAAAUAUAUCACAUCUUGAUUUCGAGUUUCUCGUAAUAAGUUUUGUCGUGACCUGAAUUUUCACCUAAAUUUGAUUAGGCAUUAGAGUAUGAAUUGAGCACUCUAAAACCACACCAAAAGAAAGAUUGAAAUAUAAGAAACCAACUUUUCAAAGCAAUAGCAUCAUAAUAAAGGAUCGCUCAAAUCACACUUUUUUUAGAUGCUUUUUUUUUUUUUUCUUUUGCAGCUCAUCUUUAUCAAAGAAUGGAUAUGAGGAGUUAAGGGACCACCACUUUUUUUUUAAAAAAAAAAAAACUAUAGGGUAGGGUUUCCAUAGAAGGAAAAAGGAUCAUGAUAGGGGAGAUCACACAACACCCCACCUCAUGAAAAAUUGUUUACUGCACGAAAUUUACCCGGUGCAAGUAAUAAAUUCUCUUAAGACUUAUUUGGUUUACGAUAUUUAAAUUUUUUAAUUUUUUAAAAUUAUUAUCAUCAAAAUUAUUUUUUUUUUUUUGAGAAAGUAUUAUCCUCAAAAUUAUUACACCAGAGGAAAACUGAAAAGUUCCCUUUUUGGGUAGUCAAAAAAUAGACUUGUGAAAGAGGGCCUAAAUUGUGCUAGGCCCAAUAGGACAAAGCGGGCCUAACAACGGCCCAUGAUUAAAUGGGCCCGAUAACAAAUUUCCGAGCCCAUGUAAUAUUGACACGUGGACUCGUGGGCCCACAUUUCAAUCAACGGCCCGCGCGCACGAUCAACAGCAUCUGACGGUGGAGGUUCCUUCAACAUCGAUGGAGUUUGGUGGGGCCCAACUCACGGCCUACCUAUUUAGAACCCGGCCCAACAAUACAACAUGGAUUCGGCCCGGGCCAAUGCGUAAUAUGCGAUUUUUUUUUUUUUUUUUUUAAUUCUCUCCUCCUAGUUGUUUUCACUGGUAUCUCUCCGACAAGGGAUCGUUCAAAGGAAGGAGCAGUGAAUGAACCCUAAUUUACGUUUUACGGAUUCGUCCUCUCCCCCCCUUUCGUCUGAUGCUCGUCGAGCCCUAACGAUCUGAUCGGCGAUCCCCUUCUCCAGGUUCGAACCCUAAUCCAAUCCGAUUGUACGAUUUCAUAGGGUUUCUCUUUGAUCCCAACGAGCUCAAUCGCUCAUCUAUGCAAAUUUUUGUCCAUUUCUGUGUGCAAUCAUUGUGAUUGUUGGCGCUUUUGUUUGCUGCAGCAGAUAUCGACCUCGUCGUUUAGAUUUUUUAGCUCACGAGGGUUUUUGCGGUGUAAUUGUUGGUGAAAUAGCCGAUGCAUGAUUUUGUAGAUGCCUAAAAGAUGAUGAGCUUAGCUAGGGUUCGUUACAAGGAUUGACAACACAAAACCCUAAUUGUUUUUCCUGAUUAGUGUUUACGAGUAUCGAAUUUAGCACUGGGAAGAUGCUCCUCGGCACAUCCGUUCAGGUUUUUGCAUCUAAACCCUUGUUAGUACCAACACCGUUGACCUCCCCGGCAAGCCAAUUUCAGAACUUUGGCCCUCAUCUUCCCCCAAAACCCUCGAAGAGGAAACUUAUUACUCCGAUAAAGGCAAGUUCUUCUGGUUCUAGCCAUAACCCAUCACCUUCCCGAAAAGGAAACAACCCGCUUACACUCAUUCUCGAUGUGCCGAAGGCUUUGUGGCGGCAGACCUUACAGCCGCUAAGUGAUUUUGGGUUUGGUCGGCAGAGCAUAUGGGAAGGAGGGGUUGGGCUUUUUAUGGUGUCGGGGGCGGCUCUUCUUGCUCUCACUAUAGCAUGGCUAAGAGGAUUUCAGCUGAGAUCGAGGUUCAGGAAAUAUCAGACGGUUUUUGAGUUCUCCCAGGCUUGUGGGAUUUGUGUGGGAACGCCUGUUAGGAUUCGCGGUGUGACGGUGGGAAGUGUGGUUCAGGUUGACUCGUCGCUAAAGAGUGUUGAUGCAAUUGUUGAGGUGAGCGUUUGUACUUUAGAUUCUAUGGAAAAUAAUUUAUUAAUCUAAGUGCAUUUUUUAUGACUAUUCUGGAUAUAUUAUUAACAUAUGAUUUUGCUGUCGAGAAGUUGUUUUAGCGUAGUUAUUCUGCAUUUUCCCAGGACUUGAAUGUGUUCAAUGUUAUGUUGCAGAAGUGUACAUUUCACCUUAUAUCCCCAUUAUUUUACAUAUAGUGGCUACAUUUAACCUUUAUUUUUCCUGCUCAACAUAUUCAACAUUGAGCAGGUGGUGAGGUAGCUUCUUUUUUUUUUUGGUUUUUUGAUUUCAGGUAUUCAUUGAUAUGCAUCAAUUUCGAGAAAAACAUUUGUAGUCAUUAUUGGUGCCUAGGACUUGAAUGUUUUCACUAGUACAUUGCAUAAGUCUGAAGUUAACCUUGCAUGUCCAUGUUUCUUAUUGCUUUAUGGGAGCAGUAAUUCACAAAGAGCGACUGUUAUUUGUUGAAUGAAGAUGUAAACUUUUGAAUGUUAUUUAAUUUUUGUUCUGCAACUUCUGCAGAUGCGUUCCUAGUAAUGCUAAACAUGUAAUUUAAGCAGCGGUUUAUUUCCUUUUUUUCUUUUGUGUUGCUUUCGAAGCUGUUCAGAAGCUUUACCGUUACCAAAGUGGAUGUAACUUGUAAGGAAUGCAAAGCUUGCCAUAUGUUGUGUACAAAUAUUAUGAUAUUGAAGAAGUUGAUAUGCUUUAAUUUUCCAUAUUGAGGAUGAAUAAGGAAUCAUGAAUUCAUGAUUAUUAGAAUUUUUAGAUGCAUAAAUUUAAACCGUCAACAUUUGUCACUUUUUGGUUUUUUAGUUAGGAUAAGAUGGAGCUAGUGUCCCAAUUGAUACUUUAUUUGGCAGGUUGAGGAUGAUAAAUUCAUUGUACCUCGAAAUUCGUUGAUUGAGGUGAAUCAAUCGGGCCUUCUGAUGGAGACUAAAAUUGAUAUUACUUCAAGAGAUCCGCUUCCCACGCCUUCUGUUGGCCCGCUUGACCCAGCUUGUGUUAAAGAAGGUCUUAUCGUCUGCGACAAGGAAAGAAUGAAAGGACAGCAAGGGGUUAGCUUGGAUGAAUUAGUUGGAAUAUUCACCCGUCUUGGACGAGAUAUGGAGGAAAUUGGUGUUACCAGAAGUUAUAGAUUGGCUGAGAAAGUUGCUUCCAUGAUGGAGGAAGCGCAGCCUCUCAUCGCAAAGGUGCGGAGAGUUCUCCAGUUUCUUGGUUCAUCAUAUUUUUGCUUUAUUUUAAACAAUUCAUGCAAACACUAUCUGAACUAUACUUCAUUUUGAAAUGGCUAUAUUUAAACUUACAAGGUAUCGAUUUCAACCUAGCUUCUUCUUUUAUUAGUAUUAUUAUUUUUGUAUUUUUCUUUUUCAAAUUUGUACCUCUCUGUAUUGCUUUCGCUUCCUCUCUGAGAAUUAAAGUACAUUCAGUUCUCCUUUACUGGACUCGAAAUUUUUGUGCAUCUAAACUCCAAUAUUAGAGCCCAAAGAACAUCUGUUUCCUCUUAAUGUCUUCUUUACUUCGUCUGUUACUUUAAUUUUGCUUAGUACGUCUUUUGAAUUCACUCUAAAUCUUUGCAGUUCCUGAAUUUUUUUUUUUUUUAAAGAUUAAAUCAUGUUGAGCUAUAUAACAUGUGUUUGAUACACAUGCUUACAUGCAUAGUAGUUUGCUUUAGUGAUGUAACAGAUUGAAGCCUUAGCUGAAGAUAUUCAACCUUUGCUUGCUGAGGUUCGCGAUAGUGCUCUUCUAAAGGAUGUGGAGAGCUUAACCAAAACUCUAGCCGAAACAACCAAUGAUUUGAGGUCAGUAUUAUAUCUAUGAUAUAUUCAUUAUGUGUAUAACAUUUGAAAAAUAUGGAAGGAAACUUCUUUGCUUGAAAUGUUUUCUAUAUGUGUUAUCGUACAGAAAGGUGCAAUCUUCCAUUCUUACCCCCGAGAAUUCUGAUCUGGUUAGGCAGUCUAUUUUCGCCCUUAUAUUCACACUGAAAAACAUCGAGGUUAGCUGUUUUACUUUUUUUUUUUCCAACGUCAAAAUAGAAGCAAAAUUUUAUCAAAUUCUUACCGAGUUCAUAAUAAUCAUAGAGUAUCACCUCCGAUGUAUCUGGUUUCACGGGUGAUGAGGCUACAAGGCGGAACUUGAAGCUGCUUAUUAAGUCUCUCAGCAGACUUCUGUAGUCAUUGCAGGUUAGUCAAUCUAUGAAGCAGUGAACGAUUUUGUGAAGUGAUACCUCAGAUAUAUUUUUUAUUUUCAAUUGAAGAUAAGGGUAAUUAUUUUCAGAUUGUUUCUUCGUUAAAUUUUGUACUUAAAUGUGUUCUUUCAUAUUGUUUUCUUUAGAAGAUUUCCAUGCAUCUAAGCCCCAUGAAAUCAAGCGCUGUGUUGCUUAUGCUGUUUAAGCUUUUGCCGAGAGAAUUCGGUAUAAUAAGUUUCAUACAGAUUUUGCUUUGGGAUGCUCUGAUCGAGAGCGCCGUGGACCGAUGAAUCAUUUUGUUUGUUUUUAAAGUCAAUCUUUUGUUGCGAAGAAAUAUUUAGCUGUAAAUUUAAAGCAUUUUUGUGGGGUUGGGGCAUCCUAACUGUUUGAUUUUGGUUUUGUUUGGCUCAUCAGAGGACGUUUGAUCGAUCUGUUUGUGAUGGAUAUCAAUCAUUCUGUGCGUGUUCGUGAAGUAAAAGUGUGAUAAUGUAUUGUAUGUCAGAGUUUUAGGGCCCAUUUUGUGGGGUCCAUUUCGUCGCAUUCGGCCCGAUUUUUUUAGAGUCGGGCCCGAAAGGUAUCUUUCGGGUCCAGUACGACUCGACUGGGCCUCUGGACCAAAUGUAACACUGCGCACGUGACCGGCACGUGCUUCGUUAAUAACUCGGCUAGAUAAUAUUUUUCCUUGUUCAAUAAUAAAUCGACUAUUGGAAAAAAAAAAAAAAAAUUGGAUUGUUGAAUUCUCUUUUCUAUGAAAAUGUUUCUUAUUACGGUCUAUUUGGUUGACGGUAUUUUUUAAAAGGCCUAGAGAUGGGGCGGCUGAUUGCGAAAUUUUAUAUUUCUUUUAUCACAGAAAUUUAACAUAGCAUGAAUUAAAAUUUUUUGCGUAUACAAUCCGUUAAAUCUUGAGAUUUGAAAAUUCACUUCUUUCCUCGAUAAAUAAAGUUAUGAAUACUUUAAAAUUUAUAAAUAAUUAAAUAUGUUAUAUUUGCAUACUCAUGCUUACUAUAUCACUAAUUUUGUGUAAAAGGAUUUUAUUAUUCUAGUCUCUAUAAAGAAAAAGAUGUAGUAGUAAUUCUACUGUGAAAUUUAAGUUUCGUGAGCCAAGCAUGUCCUGACAUAUUGAGCAAUCCAAACUAGUUUGAUUUACUUCCUUUGUGCAAACAAAAUUAACUACUUAAAUAACGAUCUACAAUCUUUGGCUAUAAUUUAAAUUCUAAAACUCUUUAUUUUUUGGAAGCUAUUCAACGUAAAAUCACCCAUUCUAAGUUUACUUUAGAGCCAGAAUUAUUAUUUUUUUACAUAUAAAUAAAUAACAAGUUGAUUUUAUAAAAUUUCAAUGUUUCAUUUCAUCUUUAAACAACCAUAAAUUUGGACCUUUGAACAUAAAAAAUGACAUGAAAAUUUGGUCGAAAAAAAAAUCGUAUUUCCUAUCAAUUAACAAUUUAGGCCGGGGAAAAAGCCCAUAUACACAGUCCAGUAGUCAAUAGAUUCGGGCCCAAAUCGAUAGGAUCGAGCGUUGGUCCUGUAUUGGGCCGGGCCAUAUUUUUAUAGGUAGUUCAAAGCAGGCCUAUAUUGCCACGGGAGUCCGCUCACCGCCAAGUGAGCUCACCCCCUAUUCAAUUUCAUCUCUUUUGAUGCAAAAUAAUUUUUUUGGCGGAGUUUUAAUAAAAACACUACGAGGUUACGCUUACCGUGCGGUGACCGUAUCGCCGAGUGGUCUACAGUUCCGUUUGAGUUCGACUCACCGCGCCUCGGCUCGAGUGAGCUGAGACCCAAAAUAACCAUUUUAAUUUUAAAAUUUUUUAAGCCAUGUUUAUUUUAACUUUUUUAACAAAGUUUCCUAAUAGUAUGCUACUUUAAAUCAGCCAUGUAUCUUAUAAUUUUGUUAAUUUCAAUUAGCAUUUGAAUGAAAUUUACGAGUCGGUCAUUCUUAAAAUAUUUUUAUUCAAAAUUCAAAAUUUUUUUAAUAUUUUUUAUAAUAAAAUAUUUUCUUAUUGCAGCGCAAAUUUUCUUCCUCAUCACAUCACAUGAUGUAAACAAUUAAAUUGUAGAUUUUACUAGUGCUACCGAACGGUUGACAAACUUCUUCAUUUUAAUAAUUUUUAACAUAAUUUAAGGAAUAAUAUGAAAGGACAAAUAAUCUUCAUUAAAAGCCUCACCAUCUUGCAAGGCAUCAUCACACGAAAGAGAUUAACAUUAAUUAGUAAAACAAGUAAUUUUAUUAUAAAAUUUAAGUUUCGUGCGCUAUAUGAUAUUGAGCAAUCCAAACUUUCUUUCUGCAAACAAAAUUAACUAUUUAAAUUACGAUCUACGAUCUUUCGUUACAAUUUAAAAAUUUGUAAUUCUUACUUUUUGAAAGCUAUUCGAUGUAACAAUCCGUUCUAACUUUACUUUUGAGCUCGAAUUCUUUUUUUUUUUUUUAUAAAUAAUGAGUUGAUUUUAUUUUCAAUUUGUUUCAUAUCAUCUUUGAGCAAUGGUAAAUAUAGACCCUUUAUUAUGAAAAAUGAGACGAAAAUUUGCGUAAAAAUAUCGUAAAUUUUUUUUUUUUUAACUCCUAUCAAUUAGGAUUUGGGCCGGAGAAAAGCCCACGCACGGUCCAGUAGUUAAUAGAUUUAGCCCAAAUCGGUUAGUAUCGAGUUUUUGUCGCAUAUUGGGCCGGGAUAUAUUUGUCAUGAGUCCAGUCACCGCCCAGUGAGCUUACUGCCCCUGCAGUUUCGUCUCUUUCUCUGUAAAAUAAUUUUUUGGUGGAGUUUUCGUCAGAAAACCCCGAGGUUAAAAUUACCGCGCGGUGAGCGUAUCGCUGUUGGCAGUUCGAGGAGCCGGAAUUCAAAAUAACCAUUUUAAUUUUAAUUUUAAUUUUAAUUUUUUACCCAAAAUAAUCAUUUUGACUUUAGAAUUUUUUUAGUCAUUUAUAUUUUAUUUUAUUUUUUUUAACAAAAUUUUCAAGUUGUAUGUGACUUUAAAUCAACCAUUUAUCUAAUACUUUUGUUAAUAUAUAUAUAUAUAGUAAGGUUAUUGUACUCUUAUGAAUAUAUAACUAUUUAUACUCAUAAAUUGCUGUUGUACUUUUAUGAAUAUAGACCUCUUUAUACUCAUAAAUUUUCAACCGUUGGAUGAAAAAAUAUGUGGCUAGGAUGAUAGUGAUCCUCUAAGGUUGAAUGGGUGGUUAGUUGAAUAGUAUAAUCUAACGGAUGGAAAUAAUCAAAGAAGUAGAUCUAACGGCUAAAAAUUUAUGAAUACAAAAAAAUCUAACUCAUAUGAAUAUAAUAGCCGGACUAUAUAUAUAUAUAUAGUCCCAUCAUUUUGAGGCUACUCGUUCACUAGACAAACGAAAUCAAAAAAUUAUGAAAAUUAGUUUCUAGAUAGUUCCAAUAGCGUAGAUCAAGUUAACGAAACCGAUCGCCGAAUCGGAUGUCCCAUCAUCGAAAACAACUUACAAGCACGGGGCCUCCCAUACUUUCGAAAGCAUAGGAGCCUAACUCUAUAUAUAUAUAUAUAUAGUGGGCUGGUAUGCUUAUGGAAGCACGGAGCCAUCCGUACUUCCAAGUUGUUUUCGAUGUUCGGACUUUCGAAUCGACGAUCGGCUCCGUUAGAGUUGAUCUAGAGUAUUUGAAGUAUCUAGAAAAUAAAUUUUGUGAUUUUUCGAUAUCAUUUGCCUAGUGAUCGAAGGGGCACAAAAUCAAUAAUUUUAAGGGCCGUGGUGAGCCGGGUUGUAAGUUUAACGGUGCAGAAAUAUCCAAAUCAUAUGAAAUUUUGAUAGAAAAUUCUUUAUACCAUAUAAAACAAGAUCAAUAAUUUUGAUCUAAAAUUUUAAUGUCAUAUCAUCAUAUUUUGUAAGAUUUUUAUUUUCAGCCGUUGAUUUUGAGCCACUUCGAUCACUAGGCAAAUGAUAUCGAAAAAUUACAAAAUUUAUUUUCUAAAUACUUCAAAUACUCAAGAUCAAGUCUAACGGAGCCGAUCGUCGAUUCGAAAGUCCGAACAUCGAAAACAACUUGGAAGCACGGAGGGCUCCGUGCUUCCAUAAGCAUACCAGCCCACUCUAUAUAUAUAUAUAUAUAUAUAUAUAUAUAUAUAUAUAUAUAUAUAUAUAUAUAUAUAUAUAUAUAUAUAACAUCGAGUGCUUAGUACUAUUAAUAGUAUAAUAGCCUAAUUCUCAAAAUAGUUUUAUUCAAAAUUCAUAACUCUCGAAUGUUUUUUCACUUUAAAAUAUUUUUUAUGGCAGCGUAAUUGUGCUUCCUCAUCCCAUGAAGUUAAACAAUCUACAAAAAAGAAGGGCUAAUCAACUAUCCUAAAAGUACGUUCCGAUAGGAAUGACGUAUCCAUCGUACUUAAGUGGUCAAUCACAAUGCUCACGAAUUUCGACCUGGCUAAACUCAUCUGGACGUUAGAUCUAUUGUUUGAUCUCUCGCCGUUAUGUUUCUUGUAGACUGUAGCCCCACUCAACUUAUUAAAUCCAUCCAGCUCAACUUAUUAGCCUCCUGGGUCUAUUGUCACGAGAUUAAACUUAUUUUAGCCCAAUAAUAAAUAGCCAACAAGAUUAAAGCAUGGUAUGUUUCCAUUUAGAUCGCCACCCCACCACCUCUUCUAAACAUUCAAUUGUACAGAUUCAAAAUAGAAACACCAUAGUUUUUUGUUAUACCAUAGUUUUUCUUUGUACCAUAGAAACACCAUAGUUUUCUAUCAACUGAAAAUAUGUUUUAAAAAAAAUUGAUUUUACUUAAUCGUUGUUAAAUCUAAAAAAAAUUAUUUGGUUGAUGAAAAUAACUUAAUUAACAAAUUUUUUUUAAAAAAAUCAAAGUUGAUAGGUAUCAAUCCCAAAAAAAAAAAAAAAACCCACUAGUUGAGGGGUCCUAUUCCAACAUGGCGAGGGUCCCUAUUCAUCUCCAACUGCUUGAAAAAAGAUGAAGUCUUUGUACUAGUAGGUUCCAUCUUAAUUGUUUAUUGGUAAUUCUGAUUCAAUUACGUAACUGCUAUUACAACCAUUGCUCUGAUAUAGAGGGACCAACCUCUAAAUACAGUAUAUCCUUUUUAAGCCCAGAUUCAUAGUUUGCGCUUUGUGCUGGAUACAAGAGAAUUACUUUUAUUCCAGAGAAAACUCNNNNNNNNNNNNNNNNNNNNNNNNNNNNNNNNNNNNNNNNNNNNNNNNNNNNNNNNNNNNNNNNNNNNNNNNNNNNNNNNNNNNNNNNNNNNNNNNNNNNAUGUGUGGUUGGUAAACAAGGAUCGAUUUUUUAGCAAGGUACGAAAUGUAUCGUCAAAUAUUCAAUACGAUUCCACAAGAUCUAGUUUCGUUCAAGUAACGGAUUCUAGCCAAUUGAAAGGAUCUUCUGAUCAAUUCAGAGAUCAUUUCGAUUCCAUUAGUAAUGAGGAUUCGGAAUAUCACACAUUGAUCAAUCAAAGAGAGAUUCAACAACUAAAAGAAAGAUCGAUUCUUUGGGAUCCUUCCUUUCUUCAAACGGAACGAACAGAGAUAGAAUCAGACCAAUUCCCUAAAUGCCUUUCUGGAUAUUCCUCAAUGCCCCGGCUAUUCACGGAACGUGAGAAGCGGAUGAAUAAUCAUCUGCUUCCGGAAGAAAUCGAAGAAUUUCUUGGGAAUCCUACAAGACCCAUUCGUUCUUUUUUCUCUGACAGAUGGUCAGAACUUCAUCUGGGUUCGAAUCCUACUGAGAGGUCCACUAGGGAUCAGAAAUUGUUGAAGAAAGAACAAGAUGUUUCUUUUGUCCCUUCCCGGCGAUCGGAAAAUAAAGAAAUAGUUAAUAUAUUCAAGAUAAUUACGUAUUUACAAAAUACCGUCUCAAUUCAUCCUAUUUCAUCAGAUCUGGGAUGUGAUAUGGUUCCGAAGGAUGAAUCGGAUAUGGACAGUUCCAAUAAGAUUUCAUUCUUGAACAAAAAUCCAUUUUUUGAUUUAUUUCAUCUAUUCCAUGACCGGAACAGGGGGGGAUCCACGUUACACCACGAUUUUGAAUCAGAAGAGAGAUUUCAAGAAAUGGCAGAUCUAUUCACUCUAUCAAUAACCGAGCCGGAUCUGGUGUAUCAUAAGGGAUUUGCCUUUUCUAUUGAUUCCUACGGAUUGGAUCAAAAACAAUUCUUGAAUGAGGUAUUCAACUCCAGGGAUGAAUCGAAAAAGAAAUCUUUAUUGGUUCUACCUCCUAUUUUUUAUGAAGAAAAUGAAUCUUUUUAUCGAAGGAUCAGAAAAAAAUGGGUCCGGAUCUCCUGCGGGAAUGAUUUGGAAGAUCCAAAACCAAAAAGAGUGGUAUUUGCUAGCAACAACAUAAUGGAGGCAGUCAAUCAAUAUAGAUUGAUCCGAAAUCUGAUUCAAAUCCAAUAUAGCACCUAUGGGUACAUAAGAAAUGUAUUGAAUCGAUUCUUUUUAAUGAAUAGAUCCGAUCGCAACUUCGAAUAUGGAAUUCAAAGGGAUCAAAUAGGAAAUGAUACUCUGAAUCAUAGAACUAUAAUGAAAUAUACGAUCAACCAACAUUUAUCGAAUUUGAAAAAGAGUCAGAAGAAAUGGUUCGAUCCUCUUAUUUUUCUUUCUCGAACCGAGAGAUCCAUAAAUCGGGAUCCUAAUGCAUAUAGAUACAAAUGGUCCAAUGGGAGCAAGAAUUUCCAGGAGCAUUUGGAACAUUUCGUUUCUGAGCAGAAGAGCCGUUUUCAAGUAGUGUUCGAUCGAUUACGUAUUAAUCAAUAUUCGAUUGAUUGGUCUGAGGUUAUUGACAAAAAAGAUUUGUCUAAGUCACUUCGUUUCUUUUUGUCCAAGUUACUUCUUUUUUUGUCCAAGUUACUUCUCUUUUUGUCUAACUCACUUCCUUUUUUCUUUGUGAGUUUCGAGAAUAUCCCCAUUCAUAGGUCUGAGAUCCACAUCUAUGAAUUGAAAGGUCCGAACGAUCAACUCUGCAAUCAGUUGUUAGAAUCAAUAGGUCUUCAAAUCGUUCAUUUGAAAAAAUUGAAACCUUUCUUAUUGGAUGAUCAUAAUACUUCUCAAAAAUCGAAAUUCUUGAUCAAUGGAGGAACAAUAUCACCAUUUUUGUUCAAUAAGAUACCAAAGUGGAUGAUUGACUCAUUCCAUACUAGAAAGAAUCGCAGGAAAUCUUUUGAUAACACGGAUUCCUAUUUCUCAAUGAUAUCCCACGAUCAAGACAAUUGGCUGAAUCCCGUGAAACCAUUUCAUAGAAGUUCAUUGAUAUCUUCUUUUUAUAAAGCACAUAUACGAAGUUGUCCUUAGUGUUUGUCCUUAGUGUGUUCCCAUCUAACUAUGUUAUAUUUGGAGACCAUUUUACGGGGGGGCAUUGGGUCGUCUAUUUCAUGUAAUGUGUCAGGCAAAAUCCCUAACCGCUGAAUGGGUAAGUCACUGAAACCGUGACCUGCAAGGGUUUUGUUUUAACCAUGAUAGCCCAGCCCACUUAAGUUAUUAUCUGCGGACCACCGUAAGGUCGGAAGGAAGAGGAAAGUCCUGGAUAGGCUUUCUCUUAGGUCAUGAAGAACCAGCACUUAUAGACUUAUCCCGCUUGGCGGGGCACCUAUAGAAACGAAGCCUUGUUUUGUUAAUCUUAAUCCGAACCAGUUGACCUUACACAUAAUAGGUAUAUCCUCUAGAAGGUUAACUCUUCUAGGUAGCUGGACUCUGCUUCUCUUUCCAGAUAGAUAAAAUAAAUCAAUAAGUCAAUUUGGUUACUAAGCAAUAAUCUCGUCUAUCGUUGUUGGUAAAGUAGGCUGUACGCAUAAAAACUAAAAGGUUACCUAAAUGUAGAAAGUAAUUACCUUUAAAAAACUACAUCACUCAUUAUCGAGACCAACAAGCGACAAGUUCUUAAGAACAAAUCCGUCAAGUAUGGUAGGUAUGUAUCACAAAACUAGAUUCUAAAUUUAAGAAGAUACAAAGUCGUCAUCGUAUAACAAGGUACCUCGAUUCCAGGUUUUAUACCUUCUUUGUCCACAAAGGUGCUGAGAUGGUGGGUCAGUUAAGGCAAGGUGAAUUAGGGAUAAAGUACCGGUGUAUAGAAAGGCCGAUUCAUUACCCUUUGGAAAGAGGACAAUGUACUUAGGUUAAAAGUAAAGUAGGCCCUUUUCGGUAGAAAAAGAGUUGUUACAGAAACAGUAAACUAGGUUAUCGCAAGGCAAUCUAUCCUUGUCUAAACUAUUUAUGACUAUUGAGAGCCUACCUCAUAAUCUUGCCUUUUUAGGUAAUCUAUUACUUGAUAACCAAGAUUCGGUAGAGACCGCUACUUAGUUGUUAAGCUUCACGAAAAGAACGCAUAAGAACUAUUUGGUCGCAAAUAUAUAUCUACAUCCUCCUAGGCAAACCCUUCAUUCUUCGGGGAAACUGUAGAGAAGUAGACGUUUCUUAAGAGCUACACUUUUGUGUCUCUGUUUCCCGACUAGAAACUUAUCCUUUUUCUCACCUAGGCGUCCCAGGGUUUACUUAACCGAAUAAGCUUUUUUCGGAACAAGAAACCUUCUAGAUAGAGCACAGACCAUGACGUGCCAAGGUGAGACGUUCUUGAGGCUUAGUAAGCGAACUUCGAGUAGGAAAAGUAGUAUUUACUAGGCGAACGGGGCUUUACUGGACCGGGUUAUCCCUUUAGGGUUAAGUAACCCGGAAAGCUAUGUUAGUUUAUCUUUCGGGGUUCCCGCGGUAUAAGAUCCUCGGGUUUGAUACACUAACUUAUUUAGGAGGAGAUAGACAACGCCCAGCUCCUGAGGAAGAGGAAGGGGAAGAAGUUUGAGGCUAAGCAUAAAAAGUAUCUCUUUAGAGACUAGUUGCUAUCUUGUUCUAGGUAAAACGUAGUAUAUAUUCCCUAAGGAACCAAGCCUGGCUUCUUCGUUACAGUGAGCUAGUAAUAGUUUGACUGACGUUAGAAAAAGACAGGCACUCCUAGGGUGGUCUCGCGGAAGAUGAAGAUUAUCCGGUACUUGAUCUAGUCUUAGUAAGAGUUGCUUAGGUAUUCUUCACUAGGGUAAAAAAAGUAGCCCAGGCCCAUCUCUGGUUUCCAGAACUCGCUGGCUAGGCCGUCUUGUUGAGUUUUCUAUUUCUUCAUAGCAAUUAAAGAAGUACGAGCAAGGUUCAAGCUUCAUGGUAAACAUGUUUAUUCUUAGGGGAAGCAAUGUACUAAAGAAGAAGUAUAUCUAUCUAUAUCCUAGAUACCCCGUUAAUGAAUCUUCAUGUAAAACACGUUGUCGGGAAGGAUAGACUAUCUUUUCCUAGGGUACUAGGACUUGGCUAGAAUGGACCCUAGCGUUUAGGGUUCAAACAGAUACUUCUCGUCUAGAUUAACAUAAUCACAGAUAUUAACUAAAGAAGACACAUUAUGAUUAGCUAUCCCGGAGUAACCAUUCACGAUGUUCUAGAGCACGUAACCUUGGGUACCAAUACCUGAGCUUAGGUAAUCAUACCUUGUAAAAGAAAAGGUUCACUUUAGGGGAUCAUAUACUUUCUCACUUUUUCACGAAAGCAACAACACCUUAUUCUUCGGAAGCAUAGAAUUACGUACAUAAAUUAAAUAAGCCCCGAUAAUCUCGCCCUAGGUGAAAAAACCCUUAUACUCAGCUUCGUUAUUGUUCUUAUAAAGAUCACCUUGUAGAAAGUGUUAGGGACCUCUCUCUCAAGUGAUUAUCUGGCUCCCUAUUCAUUAAGCUGAGUAAGUGUAGGUCUAGUACUUACAAACCUUAGGUAUAAUACGUUCCUCUGUAACGAAAACGAUUAAGCUUAACUUCCCACUAUAUUUUAGCCAGAUAAAGGCUGUAGUAUAGGUAUCAAUCGCGUAAGUAGUAUCAAUCUUCGAGGUCGAGGCAUAGUUCAAGUGCUAGCUAUAGCAGUGAUAGUAGUUAUAGCAAUGAUCGUAGUUAUAGCAGUGAUCGUAGUUAUAGCAGUGAUCGUAGUUAUAGCUAUAGUAGUUAUUUUUUUGGAAAUCCGAACAAUAGGUCCUUGAACAAGUCUUUAUGACAUUACUUUCCUUGUAUCCUCAAACAGCGAUCCAUAAACUGGUUUAUCCUAGCAGGCCAAGGAUAUCUUGGAUAGUGAUUUUAUGGGGAUCUCCCCCUAUCCCGAUUCGCCUCGCUUUUCCCAAAAGGUACUCUGCCCUUUACUUUUGAUAAUCGGGGUGUGCUUCAAACACUUAUUCACUAACAGACUAUUACUCGUUCCUUAUAGGCAGAAAGAUGAUUUGUCCUACAUAACUUGAGUAUUAAGUAAUCUAUGAAAAAUACUUACAGUUGAUUCAUAGCAUUCAUUUAACAAGGGCCAACAAGUUAGUAAACUAUUGGUCUCAGUAAGAAACUAUUUACUAGUGAUACUCAGUCUGAGUUAUCUUAAACUAGUUAGGAAAAAAGACGGCAAUUCCACCUCUUGACUUGGUUCUUAAGAGAAAGAAAUAGUAGUUAGCUUAGUGACAAGCGCUGGGUCCUAAGAUAAAAUAGUAGUUAGGUUAGUGGCGAGUGCAAAAAAGAAAAAGAAUAGUUACUUAUCUAGAGAAAUGAACAUACUGAAUCUACAGAGCAUAAAGAGCUUUUUCACUAAGCUAACUACCCUAAACCAUACUAUGAAUACUCUAGCUACUAUAGCUACUUUAACUAUAAGUUUAUAAAGAAGAAUCUUGCAUAACUAAACUGGGGUAUUCGCCCUAGUGAUGGGGUAUCGUACAACGGCGGUCUUGGGGCAUAAAGAAGAUCUCUUAGAGGAUUAACAAGGUCUCGUUGAUCUUUCUCUAAGAAAUUGGUCUUUCUUAAGUCAAGUCUACAUCCUAUGGAUAGGUCUUCAAAAGCGUUGAGUUAGUACAUACUACCUUAGUAGUUUCUAAACUGGAAAAGCUUGAGACAGACAUUGAGUGAUAUCCGAGCCCUUUGUUUCUCUUCUACACAUGCUUGCUCUAUAGGUCGUUGUUCUUCUUCCUUUUCCUAACUUAUCUCCUUGAGGGCUUGUAAACCGCUAGAGUCUACACAGCUAUAGUUACCACUGAGUAAUAAAGCUACUUAGUAAAGAAGCCUGUCCUCUUCUAAUACAUUUGUGAAUGAGCUUUAGAGUGAAUAGUCUAAGGUAACACCUUCUGUGGUAAAAAAGACUUCUUAAGCGGUACUAUAUAGACUAGGUACGUAUUAUAGUACUUUUUACCUAUGUUUAAAAACUGACGAUGAAUCAUAGCCGUUAUCCAGACUUUUUCAUAGAUUUUUAUAGUUUAAAUCUAUAAACAUGGGACAGCUUCAUUCCUUGGUACCGUAUAUACAAACCUGAUCUAAGGUAAAACUCUCUCAACUUUUUCGUGAUAGAGCAACUUUCCAAGAUAGGUAGACGGGAAAGAGUUGUGUAAAGAAAUCUGUUUCUGAGGCAAAAAAGGAGAAAAGCCUACCAUUUAUAAAGAGUCUUGUACCUCACACUUAGUUUGGGUACAAACUUAACUUUAACUCUAUGACUACGUUCAAGAAGAGAAGACUUAGUCUAUCUAAGUAUAGACUUUCUCCAACUGUUAUUCAAGAAAGUUUUAACUGAUAAACAGGGAGACAAUCUCCACAAGGUCUUUACAGACGUUAGCUCAUUUAUCGAGAUGCUUGAUUACCUAGCCUAGCUUAACGUUUUACCUUUCUAAACAUGUUCAAUAUGGAAAGCAGUGGUGAAACACCUUUUAGCAAUCUAUACUUAUACAAUCUAUGGACACUGAGCUAACCACUUCCACUUUAUCAUAGAGAGAGGUUUUUUCGUACAAAAAAAAAUGGUGGCGUGUUUCUUUUAUAAAACAACGCUUACUUGUUCUAUAACUCCUUAACAGGUAUGCAUUUUAGUAUUAAUAACUAUGCCCGGAAAAGGUGUAUUUUUCCCUUAGAAAACAAUGUUAUCUUCGUCUUCACUACACCUAAUAAGUUCUUAGCUUCAGCUAANCCUAAUCCCCACACCCCCGCCCCCCCCUCUCUCUCUCUCUCUCUACUCACCUCUUCUGAACAGGGAUAUUAGAAGGGAAAAAUUCAUAGAGUCCCCUAUAGGAGACUGAAAUUUCAUCAAUAGCCCUCCAAAAUUCUAAAUAUCAUGAAUGCCCUUCUAAAUCUAACGGAAUAAGGUGUAAAUACCAUUUCUACCCUUGCACUGCACUGCUCCUUAACUAUAUGAUAGUUUUAUAGAUGCCCUUCUAGAAUCUGUUAAUUUCAUCAAUACCUUUCUAAAAUUGAUAAUUUCACGAAUACUCUCCAACAUAUUAAAAAUUAUCACAAAUGCCCUCCACUAGUUAAUAUCCGUUAAAAUCAUCUGAAAUAGAGUUAAAUUUUUAAAAUAUCAUUUUUACCCUUUAUCUCUUAUCAAUAAUAGAAACAAUAAAAGGUAUUUCAAGAUAAUUUUUGUAAAUCUAAAUUUGACUAUUUAAUAUAUAAAUAUUAAAUUAAUUUUUAAAUGAUAUAUAAAAAUUGUAUUUUAUAUAUAGUAUGUUUUUAUAUAAUUUUGGUUUUGUUUUUGGCUUCGGGUUUUGCUUCAGAUUCGAUUUGGAUAUAGACCAAAAUCAUAACUAAAUUUAAAUACGAUGAGAGUUCAUUUUUUUGUACUUAUAAUUGAAACUAUCCCACUCAGCAUCAAUUAAGCUGGUGCCCAUUCAAAAUUAAGUUCAGAUAAAAUUGUAUACCUGUAUCAUUUCACAUUCUUAAUCAGUAAUAGUAAUUUGAAAUAAAUUAUAGAUUUUUAUGUUUUUCCUAUUUAAUCAAAAAUAAAUCACAUAACUAUAUCAAUAUGCAUGCUUUUUUUAUCGAUUUUAAAAAAAAAGAGAGUUUUGUUCAAAAGCUUAAAUAUAUUAUAUUUCAGUUUUUAAUGCAUUUAAUGUAGAUAAAAUUAUUGAGAAUAAUUUAAGCUUCCAAGAUUAAAGAAAGAUCGAAAAAUCCUCAACAUUUAUUUUUAUUUAAUUUUUUAUACAUAGUUAAAAUAAAUGGAGCCACUAGAUUUGGUGAAAUCAUAAAAACCUUGAUAAAAUUUUUAUUUUUCAUACACUAAAAUUAGUUAAUUUUGUAAAAAACUAAAAGUUAAUGGGAUGUUAACUAAAAAAAUAAAAGUUGAGGGAGCCGUUUCAAAACGGCAAAUAGUUGAGGGGUCUCCAUACAUUUUUAUUGGAAAAGUCUAGAUGGACUCCCGGUUGAAGGUGUACAUCCUACACCUUUGGGAUCCGACGGCUGAUAUUUAGGCACUACACAUUUAUUUUAUUUUUUUUCAAAAGCAUAAUUUUUUCAGCCUUUAGAUAAGUGGGUUGUAGGAUGUACAACCCUAAGUGGGUUGUACCAGUAGCACCACUCAUUUUUAUUAAAGAGAUAGUUGAGGGUAAAUAGGUCAUUUUAAAAGUUAACCCAUCUUUAACCAUUUAACAACUAUGGUAAAGGUAAUAUAACUAACGGUAGGGAUAUUGGUGAUACUUUUUUAUAUUUAUAGGGGCAUAUAUGAUAUUUUAAACUUUAUAGGGGUAUCCAUGAUAUUUUAAACUUUGGGAGAGGUAUCUAUGAAAUUGCCCCUAUCUAUUUGUAUUUGAUUUUAGAGUAGAGCUACUAUGCUAUCAGAAGCACAUAGGAUCUAUUGCUUUUGACUUUUUGGUCCUUAGAUUAGUCCCUUUAAUCAUUUCUAAUCUUUGGAUUAAUACUAUUAUCCUGUGGGGACCGCUCAACCCUAGGGAUACUACUCAACUCUAGGGGAGACCGCAAUCAUCCCAACCGUAUAAUUUUUGAUCCAAGGGUCAAAAAGUCGGCAACAUCAAAUCCUCUGCACUUCCGAUAGCACAGUAGCUCUACACUUGAUGAGUAGAGCUACUAUGCUAUCGAAAAUAUAGAGGAUCUAGUGCUUCCGACUUUUUGACCUUUAGAUCAGCCCCUUUAAUCAUUUCUAACUUUUGAUUAACACUUUUACCCUGCGGGGACCACUCAAUCCUAGGAGUGCUGCUCAACCCUAGGGGACACUGCAAUCAUCCCAACCGGAUAAUUUUUUAUCAAAGGGUCAAAAAGUCGGCAGCAUUAAAUCUUCUGUACUUCCGAUAGCAUAGUAGCUCUACACUUGAUUUUAAAUAAUUUCUUCAAAUACCUUAAUUUUUUUUCUUGGAGUUUAGUAAUGAGAUUGGAUUUUAGAAGAAUAUUUGGGUUAUUACAGAGUAAAAGAGGUAAUUAAGCAAAAGCUCCGAUAAUAUAUUAAUGUAAAAAUUUACCGAAAUUUUCUGAACUAUCGACCAUUUUGAAACAGGCGCCCUAACCUUUCAAAAUUUUAAUUUUUUAAUUUCUUUGAUUUGAGUCGGUCAACGGCAACAUGACUUUAGUUAAUAUAUUUUAUGCGAUUCUCGUAACUAUAAAUUAAUUAUAUUAAAUAAUUGACUUUAAAUUUGAAAUGAAAGUAUCACUGAUUAAUUAAAAUCAAACAAAUUGAAAGAUUGGAUAUGAGAAUUUUUAAAUUUUUGAAAGGUUGGGUAGCCGUUUCCAAAUGAUUCAUAGUUUGGAUAUGUUCUACACAUUUUUACCUAAUAUUAAUUAAAAGCACCAUUCUCUGUUCUCUUGUAGCUUAAACUUUUAGAGAGAAAUGUUUAUGUCACAUUACUUUAACAUGGUAUUCGAGCAGAAAAUCUUUAGUUUGAGAAAAAUAGUUAUUUUGCAUUAAAAAUACUGUUCUUCUAGAGCUUGAAUUUUUGGAGAAAAAUAAUUGCUUAACAUUAAUUUAAUAUGGUAUCAGAGCAGAAUGCCUUAAGUUCGAAUAAUUCCAUCGGGGCCUGCAAUCUCAUUUAAAUCAAUAAUUUUGUGAAAUUUUGCUGCUCUAUGUACUUCUUUACUUGAAAAAAAGUAUGGAUUUUUGUUAAUUGUUUGAUAGCAAAAACUAAUGAAACCACUGGUUCGAACGAAAUAUCUAAUUCAUCUGACUAAAAUAGCUCAAUAAUGGAAGUUGAGGGAGUGACAAUAAAUAGAGUAAAGAGAUAAGCUUCGGGGCGCAAUGUCAAAAUAGCCUAUAGUUGAGGGGGUCUUCAUGCAAUUUUUUUGAUUUGAAGUAUUUUCCUAAAUAGAUUUGGCACUCAUUAAAAUUAAGAGUUUCGUAGGCUAUGAGCUGUUAACUAUAGUUCCAUCAGGUCAAUAGUGUUCAACAUAGUUAGUUCGACAGAAUCACUGUCAAAUUUAAUAUGAAUAUGCUCAAUUUAAUUGAUUGAAAUGAUUUAAAUCGAAAAACAUCAAAAUUGAUGAAGCGCCAAUAAUAAAAACCUGUACAUUUUUACCCUUUUGUUGAUCAAUGGAUACAUACGCAUUAAGCGAAAUCCCACAUUUUUCUCCUUUAUUUCUGUAUGUUUAGGGAUGACCGGCGAAAUGCACAUUAAGGGUGUCCCAGUAACCAAGUACAAGAGGUGGUUCUUUUCUGUUCAUUGAUCAAUCUUUUUAUCUUAUACUCUCCUUUUCUGGAGCUGUUCUCUGAAAAUAUGACAGUUGUUUGCAGGUCGGCAGUCAGCUCAACAGAUGAAUGGCCUUCUAAAUACUCCAAAGUGUUUGUUCAAGUAUGCUUUCUGUUUUAUGUUCUUUGGCAUAUCUCAAGUGCAAUAAGGCGUAGUGUGGGAGUGUAAUCAAUCAUCAAUACGUGCUCCGUACGCGAGCCCUUUGAUGCUUUCAUAGGUGAAUUCUUCCUAGUGUCGACACUAACUAUUUCACCAUCACUUUUACACAACUCAUUGUACAAGUCAAAUUCCUCUACUUAUGUCGGUGAUUGGACUGGCAAAGGAAAACUGAUUUUAGCCAAGCCAUUCAUCAAUAUGUUGACUUUGCUAUGAUGAUUUGCAUCGUCGUAAAUAGACCUAGACAAAGUUCAACUCGAUGAGUAACUCAGAGGAGAAAUUGAUUUUUGGUGAAUUCGGGAAGGUGGAAUGUCAGAGGAAUUCAAAUUAUGUAACCCAUAACGAAAAAUUCCUUCAUAACUACGGAUGCAUUUAAAACCUUGAUUUGCCUCAUAAUCCUAUUUCUCAUGGAGACUUUCUUAUAAGUACAAAAACUUGUAGAUUUGGCCCUUACAUAUUACUAGUGAUAGUUCUCAUGUUUUGGGUGUAAAAACUUGUAAUAAACCAUGCAACCAUAUUAUUAUCGAAUAUUUAUAUUAAACAAUACUUUCUUAUGAAGGUGGGUUAUACUAGUGUUUUUUUUUUUUUUUUUUUUUUUUUUUUUUUUUUUUUUUUUUUUUUUUUUUUUUUUUUUUUUUGCGUUUGUCAUCUGUGUACACGAGAGUUCUUGCAUGUUUUCAAAAUUAUAAAUCUUCUAUGUUUGGGUCUGUCAGUGCUAGAAUAUGUAGUUGGAUUGCUUGCUAGGAAGCUGUUUAAUUGAAUGAACCAAUGUGCUUACCUCACUCACUACUUCUGAGUUUGGCUGCAUUUGAUGUUUUUGACUUCUCAUUUAACUUGUUCCCUUUUACCAUCUUUUGCAGCUUGAUGAUGGUUUAGAAUUUUCCUUUACUGAUAAGAGACGUUUUGCAAAAGUCCGUUUCCUUGAAGAUGUAUCUACCUCGUGCGCUACAUUCAACUUCCAUCUAAAGCUUUCCUAUUAUUCCAACUAAUUUUCUCAUUGUCUUACUAAUAUAUAUAUAUAUAUAUAUAUAUAUAUAUUUACAGCCAGAGUCUGUCCCUCCGAUUUCUGAGCUUGGUCCAGAUGCCCUGUUUGAGCCUAUGCAAGUCAAUGAAUUUGUAGACUCUCUAAGCAAAAAGAAGAUCGCUAUAAAGGCUCUGCUACUUGAUCAGGUUAGGUACAUAUUGUUAAAGAACUCUUCAAGUAGAUGCUAAGCGUUUUGUGUAGUGAUUGUUUUGGUACAAGUACAUGUUUAAUAAUUUGAUUUCUGUAGAUAUACAAUAAAGGAGGCAGAACUAAAAGAGUUAAAAGAAUGCGUUCUAUGCAAUGAAAAGCAUCGAGAAACUGUUAAUCGCAAAUAGUGAAUUUGAUUCAGUGUUUUAUCGAAUGAUUCUUUUAAUUUAGGUUCAUACAGAUUAUGAAGCAAAAUAAAUGGCACUUGUUAUGAAGAUCCACGAUGAUUGAAGAUUCAGUCUCAUCAGUUGUCGAUACAAUUGUUUGACUAUAUAAUUGCAAAAUUUCACUCUGGUUAGAGGAAACUAAUUUGGUGAACUUCAUUUUCUGGUUGAGGAAUUUGACCAGACCAAUGGGAGGCAAGUUAUCACUAUUUAUCGUCGAAUAUUCCCAGUGAUGUUACUUUCUAAAUUGCUCGUAUCUAGCAAAAUAUAUCAGUUUGAAGAUGUUCCUUACUCACCCAGGCCGGUAAAAGCACGACAGCAUGUUGUUUUAUCUACCCGAAUAUAACUUUCAAGUUUUUUUUUUUGUUUUAAUUUACUUUGCUAUGCAGAGUUACAUAUCAGGCAUUGGUAACUGGCUCGCGGAUGAGGUGCUUUAUCAGGUUAGCUUCUCUUGCAUGCUUCUUAAUGUAACAUUCUUUUAGUAGUUUAGCAUUUUCUGAACUGAAGUACUCUUUCCUCCUCAUUUGGCAUGUGCAGAUAGUUUUGAAAAUCUUCUUGUUCCUGAUGAUGAUAUGCCAUAUAAAAUUUGUUUUGUUGUCUUUCAAUAUCUCAUUACUUCCAUAGAGUUCUACUUACUUUAUUCCCUUUCAGAAAGAUCAGUAGAAUGGGCACACCACAAUGAAGGGAUUUUUGCAUUAUAUGCUCGAAUAUAAAUAUUUGUGUGUAUGCCCCUCAAAAGAAUACAUUUGCAUUAAGAAUUUAAGUAUCCAUCAACACAGGUAGUGCUAGGGAUGUCAACGGGUCGGAUUCGGGGCGGAUUUUCCAAAACCCGAACCCGAACCCGAACCCGACUCCAAACCCGAAACCCGAACCCGACGGAUUUUAAAAAUCCAUAUCCAAACCCGAACCCGACAAAAAAUUCGAAACCCAAACCCGAACCCGAAAAUCCUAGCCUGAAACAAUUAUUUCUCUUUUCAAUAUUUCAAAAUAUAUUACAUUAAAUUUAAAUUUUUAAAAUACAAAUUCAAAUAUAAUAUCAAAAUUUUAUAUACAUAUUAUAUAUAAUAUAAAAUAAAUUUGGGUUUGCAUCGGAUUCGGGUUCAGGUUGGGUUCGGCCAAAAUCUAUAUUCGAAUCCAUAUCCGUCGGGUUUUUAUUUUUGAUGUCCAUAUCUGAAACCAUAUCCGUUUAGCAUCAGGUAAAUCCGCUCUGUUCGGGUGCAACUUCGGAUAAAAUUUCGGAUAUCUGUACCCAUUGACAUCCCUAGGUAGUAGGUAGUGCCCACUGUGCCAUACCGUGUCGACAAAAUAUUGACACGAUACGACGGUGCCAUCAGAUAAAAAUAAUAAACAAUUAUAAUAUAUUAGUAUCAAAGAAAAUAAAUAUUUUCGUAUCAUAAUGUGUCAGCACACAGGAACACAAAUCCUUGAUUUGCAUGAUGACCUCACAAGAAAAAGAAAUUCUUUACCUAUGUGCCCCUCUAUAAUUAUUGUCUGAACAGUUGUUUACUUUCUUAGAAGUAAACCCUGAAGUAUAGACUUCAAGUGACAAAAUAACCCUCAUUUGCAUAAAUACCCCUACAAAGACCCUGGUUCUAAAACAAGUAUGAGAUCGAGCCUUUUAUCAUCACUUUUAUCUAGGCGAGAAUUCAUCCCCUGCAACUUGCUGCAAGCCUGUCAAAGGAGAGCUGUGAAGCGCUGCAUCGAUCCAUCAAAGAGGUAUUGGUCUCAUUCAUUACUCGACAGUCUCUUAGUAUUUGGGAAACCACCAUAUAAGUGGAUUUAACAGUCUAUGAUUUUCGAGGCAAGAUGAUGUAAGAGAUAUUUGUAGGUCAUUGAAUAUGCUGUUGAAGUUGAUGCUGACUCCAGCCGUUUUCCAGCUGAAUGGUUGUUUCACUUCCGCUGGGGAAAGAAGCCUGGAAAAGUGAAUGGUAAGGUUCUCUUUCAUACACCAUUGUAUACAUGUUGAAGCAAUAGAUCUGAUGCACGGCAUCGCACAUAGUAGAUUCAUUGUGGCCAUUUCUGUUCAAUGUGUUCAAACCUGUUGAAGUUUCCUCCUGCAUCUGUUUAAGAUACGUAUAGGUCAGGUUCAACUGCUUCAAUUACUAACCGUAGUGUGCUAUGAUGCAUUCAAGAUAACUUAUGCCAUCGGUUCUUGGAGCCUCAAAUAUAGAUAUAUAUCGCUGAAAAAUAUAUUUAAAUUUAAGAAUUCUUAUGUAGUUAUUUUAUCUUCUUUCAUUUUUGGAGUUUUAAAAGGAGUUGCAAACAUAAUUAAAUGGUAGUAAAUUUUUAGAAUAAUUUGAAUAAUUAAUAGUAUCAACUUAGAAUAACUUAACGUAAGUUACCCGGACCUAACGAAAAGGUAUCCCAGCUGUGUUCAGAAAAUACCAAAUCGGUGACGGAUGGGUAAUUUGAUAUGUAAAAUUGCCACUUUAACCAUAAAGAAUUCAUACAGUUUAGGUGCUUUAUCUGUCGUUCGUAUCUCGUUGCCUUGGUUAAUGGGUUCCAAUAUUUCUGGAACUAUAUUGAAUCCUUCAAUCUCAUAUAGAUUGUUCAUAGUUCCUGUAAUUUUCUCGCCAACAUGUAUCAACUGAUGAAUAGUUCAGGAAACAUCCACCCAACCCUUUAAUUGAUGAGAUAUUCACGAGUUUCAUUAUGAGACUGUUUAAUUAUAAUUCUCAUUGCUUGCAGGGAAGAAAAUCGAAUUUAUUACAGCAGGUGGCAGGGUAAGUCAUGCCACAUAGGGACUUUUUUUACAAAAUAACUCUUUAAAAUUUUAUAANAUGCAUGCUCGAUCGAAUAGUGGACGGGGACGAGAACCGGGAAACUACUGGUGAAGUUAGACGACCAGCCGCUUUUCCGAUAUUUACUCACGCCCCGGAUAUAUAUAUGUAGUAACGACCGACCAGCUGCAUCAAAAUCGAGGUGUAUGUGGGAAUCGGCAUUCAAAGCCCUUCCCUUUGCGGGCCAGUCCUGGAGCUGGGCCUUACGUGAUAGGGGAUGAAACCAAAAAAACCUGUACCCUAUUCCCGAGAGAUUGACGUCGGGUAGAGGAGUCGAUACGAUACAUCUAUGCGGAGUUGAACCGACCUUACCGGGCGUGGUUUUUCUGAGAUCUCCCUUCCAAGCACUCGACCCUUGCUAUGUCGGUAAAUGGAUUGGGGGGCUAAUGCACCCUUAGAGGUUUGGGAACGACCCAGACCUAUUGAUUGCCCCUCAUGCCUCGGGAGCAUGCACAGGAAUCCCGGACAUUGAAGGGGAGGGGGAUGUCCGUAAUGAACUACUUAUACUGAUUCCCUAAUCACUUACUUUUUAAGAAUAAGUAAGGAUAAGACAAAUAAAAGAAAGACUUGAAAUACCAAAAAGAAAAAAUUCAUACAACCAUUAAAAAAAGGUAACAAAUAGCACUUGUACGUCCCAGCAGCAUGGCAAUGCGGAGGUGCCCUAGAGAGAGAGGGUUCUAAGACACCCGGGGAAAUGGUCGAUUUCCCACCUUCCUUUUUUCUCGGGCAUAUCGAGAAGUUGGUCUAGUACAAGAAUGAGAAAGCCACAAGAGCAGGGAACAGUCAGACACUGCGCGUAAGAAAAUUUUUCUUUUUCAUAAAAAAUAGAAUAAUGAGACAAUAUAGAAUGUGGUUCUGGUUGAGGAAAGGGUCAACGCAAGGAUCUUACUUCGAAGCAAUCUCUGGAGUUUGCCCUUAUCCGAACGGGUCUUGCAAUAAAGACGGAUUUCAUAUUGAGCUCCAAAUAUACGCUAUUGGGAUGGAAUGGCUCAAUCGACGUUCUCCCCCCCUAAGAACCGCACGUGCGAGUUCCCCCGCAUACGGCUCAAGUGGCGAAGGCCCUUUCCUUCGCGCUUGGUAAGCGCUUCGCUGUAGCCAAGCUUACUGCUAGCCUAUCGGCUAGAGCCAAGCUUCGACCGCGACUGCUCGUCGCUUCUGGCCGCCUUAUUCCGUCACCCGAGAUCCAAGUCAGCACCGGCAAAGAUCUCUUUCUUCCUCGCGGCCGGGCCGGCUUGGAAGCAAGCUACCUGUCGCCUAUCUCACCCGGCACUUUGAAGGGUGAGCCUUCGCUUUUUGGAUCGUCUUCUGCCCAAUGCGGUACCCUCCCGUUUUUUGGUUCCCAUCCCAUUGGGUUUACCUUGUUCACAGGUUGACCCCAUGGCAGCAAGAAAAGGCGAUCUUGUGCUAUACUCCGGUGAUCUCUUGCCUACCGAGGCACGCUAACUCCCAUCGUGUCCCAGAUCACAUUCCGUGAAUCGAAAGGGGAAGCCCACUCAUCCAUCAGCUCCUCUCGUAGAUGCGGUGCGGUUUGACGAAGCGUCUAAGCACAGUUCACUCGCGUUGAUCAAUUAAGAGUUUUGCCGCCACUCCUUAAGGUUACAUGUUGUAUAAUACACUGAUUGCAUAGUUUCCCACGCUUCAUACCUCCUCUCCUCUUCUUAAGGUAAAGGGCUAGGCAUGGUGGGGUAGGAGCAUCCAGUCGGCAAGAUUUUAGGCCUGACCAAAAAGUCUUAUGUCCUCCGAGUCGCACGGCGUUUUAACCGAAAGAACUUCUUGCGCAAUUCAUGCCUUUCCGUUUUUAUGACCAGAAAUUGUUUCUUGAUUUCCAUUUCAAAUUGUUCUCUGGACUUUUUAUCAAUAUGAGGUGAUCGUAACACAGUAUAUAAGACUCGUGAUUCAGGCAAUCCAAUCUUCCGUGUGUAAGGCGUAAGCCCCCAAAAAUGAUAGUUUGAUAAAAAUGGGUUAUCAAAAGAUCGAAUCACUAUGCCUAUCUUGGUGGUCGUGACUUUUGGUGGUCUUGAUUUUCUCCUCUUCCUGUUCUAUUGAUCAGAGGGCAGUGCCACGCCGGUGACGAAUUCGGGUUAAGUUAAGGCUCCCCUCCCUUUUUCGUAACAACAAAAAUCAGAAGUAGGACCAAACCUCGAAGAAGAAGCCUGAGCACAGGACGAAGUGUUUUUCGUUGUAUGACGAAGAAGAAGAAAGGAUGGGACAAGGGUACCGCAAGCAAGCAUGCAAUGCUCCUCUGCUAACCUGAUGAAAGAGCCAUCGGUGACAACAAAAAUGAGAGAAAGUGACCCAAGAAUGAAAAAGAAUUUGAUCUUAUUAAGCCGAAGAUCAACUGGGCAGAUCUCUAUGUUAUGUUCCAAGACCGCCUCCGCCGCCCUUGGACCAAUCAUUCACCAAGGCCGCAUCCCUGCGGAUGCCAGGUUCUUUUGAGCGAGGAGAUGGAAAUCGAUCUGGAGGACAAGUGGUGGUUACAGCUUGAAGAGAGGACCACUCACUCAGUCCUUCUGAAAAAGGAGAAGAAGCCAAUUCACUUCCCGGGAAGAGUUGCACGAAGAGGGUUCGCCCUCUGCCAUUAAAGAAGGGGAGAUAGAAGAGAUUAUAUCAUCAAUACAGUCCUCUCUUCCCUCAAACUGUCGGGGUGGAUAUAAUAUUCCCCACGCCUGACUAUUUUGGGGUGCAUUUCAAACCCCUGUAGGAAAACAACAACUUUGUUCAGUUCAGUAAAGUUGACCGUCUUCCAUGCGUAGCUGUGCCCGGCCGAUGCCUUCCAUUAUUGCUGCAUUUAAGCGCUGGGGAAUCAGUCUCGUCAUUCCAGCGUUUUUGGAUGUGAAUCAUCCCCGCCAUGAGCGAGAUUUUUGUGCCUUUAUUCGUCUUUGUCUAGUUAACCCUCCUAUUGAUUUUUUCAUUCGAGUAAACCGGCCGAGUAACGAAUUUCUUAUAUACGUAUUUAUCAUCAUCUUUCCAGAAAAGAUAGCCAAACAAUAAAGACUGAUGAGCGCCUGCCCGAGUGCUCAAAAUCUUUUGGGCUGCUUGCUUGGUUGAGUGAUCGCCAGUGGCAGCCCUCUUCCUAAAGAGUCCUAUCCUUAGGGCAGGUCUACUGCUCGAAAAAACGACCAUCCUCUCCUUCGUCCUCUUUACACUUAGUUGUUUGGGACUAGCUGCCUAACGUUGCCUGUCCGGAGGAAUAAGAACCGCUGCUGCUGGGCCUCAUGCUAUUCCCAACCGUCGUGGAGUUCCAAAAAAGGCAUACGCCCUUGAUACUGAAGAUAGAUAGGAGCUCCCCUCCCCUCGAAAGGCAAAGGUCCUAGCGUUAGCGCAUAUUUGACACAUACAUAUUUGACACAUAUGUUAAUUCCCUAAAUAUGAGCCAGAUCAAGAGCCCUCAGUAUCAGAGAGAGAUGGGGAGAAAGUCUUUGUCAUUGGUUCAAAGGCUGUGCCUUCUGAACAUUUCUUUUUCGUUGCCUAAGCACUUACACACCUCGGAGGCUUUCCUGUUCCAGGUUUAGAUCCAUCCUAUAGUCGCGGAACUCAUUGAAGAUCCAAAUCAAGUGAAUAUACAAUCUAUAGCCACCACGGGAUACACAUCUACGGGCAGGCCCUAUCUAUAUACCAAAAAUGAUCGAAUCUUCGGGCUGUUCCGAUUCCACCAGCAACGGUUCUAUAUCCAGUGGUGGUUAGAGCUUCUCUCCAAUAGUGGUGUCCCGUUAUAGGCGCGAGAUAAGGGUACGUACUAGGAGCCUGCUUUGACCUUUCGAUCCAUUAGAAGAACGAGCCAAAGCUUUUAUAAAUGGAGAGGUUCUGGUACCUCUUUCAUAUAUAGCUAAAGCAAUGGGAGCAGCACUGACUCAAAUAACUGGAGCGAAGGUUGCAGCGGUAGGGACAGAGAUAGCGGCAGUGGCAUAGAGAGUCACGGAAGUUGAAAGUACAUAAGUUGUUGCAGCAGUCUCAGAUCCAGUUGCUAAGAUAGCAGCAUCUUUCUCACUCCCGCCCAGGGAGGAAGUAUCAUACUGAGAAUGCCCACGAAAAAAUGGCUUUCUUAUUCCCACCGGGGGCUGGCUUAGACGAGAUGAUCUCCUCUAUCUUCUUAUCUUCGGCUGCGAUGUCUGCAUUAACUUUCUCGAGCCUCUCUGGCGAAUCAUCGGCUAAGGUCUCCUCCCCCUCUCGAAGCACGCAGUCUCCGCGUCUCAGCAUAACGAGCGGCUGGCAUUAUCUGAAUUAUGCCCAUCUGACGGGUCACGCGGUCCCCCGGAUGCCGCUCCACCACAUUCAAACAGAUCAUGGGCGCCUAAGUCCCAAAUAGAGGCCGGGACUCCAUAUAGAUGGGAUCUGACGCCUGAAUGAGACGUAAAGCGUCAUCAGGCAUCGGAGAUUGAAGAUCAAUCAGAUCCGCUUUUGCCAUUUCGUAGACGAGUUUUGCCAAAGCCAUGUUCAUGAUUUCCAUUUCAGUUUAGUUUUAGGGAGGUGUUGAGAAUAUUCAAACUCAACCCUUAUUCUUUUUUUAUGUUUAGCUUUAGAGAAUAGGGGGGCUCGUCAUUUGUGUAUAUAUAGGGUCUCCGACACCUCAAAAUGUAAAUCAUUCGGGAUUUCAGAGCCAUCUCAACUUUGACAUGGUAUCAGAGCGGGUUUUUCUAUCCGACAUUUUUUUUUUGGACCUGACGUAUGCGGAAGUGCCUCGCCGGAUCUUCAAAAAAAAAGGGAACCGUGUCGACGUUCUCUUUCCCGACUUUCCAUUUAUGAGGUUUCCUUUGAUUUGAGGGUAUCGUGCAUCUCAUUCCUGUGUGGGAUUCUUUUGAUCGCGGGUCUCGCCCUCAAGCUGGCAUCGGUAGAGAUCGUGGCCUUUCCUUGAUUGCUAUAAUCUUCGAGUUGUUUGAUUCUUCUUUUUAUUUUUCCUUCUGAAUUUCCAUUUUUUUUUUCUAGUAUUUACUAGCCAAUUUUAUCUUUUCUUUUUUUUUUNNNNNAAAAAAAAAUCUGAAAAACGAAAAUAUUAAUUUGUCAUAAAUUUUGAAAAAUAAAUUUUCAAAAGAACUAAUUUUCUUUGAAAAUAAAGAGACAAAAAACUGAAAAAGAGACAUUUAUAAAAUACGUUUUUCUAAUUAAGAAACUGUUUUCUAUGCUUUUCUGACCAACCAAACACACAUUAGUGUAUUUACAGUUUUACAACCUUUAAUACUAUAAUGAAUAAGAUAAACAAUAAAAGCAAGAUCUUCAACCACUCUAAUCAUACUAGAACUAAUUCUUUCCCUAAUACAAUUUAGGGGAUAAAAAUGUAAUCAAAAUAGACUCUAAUUUGAAUGAAUCUUGUCUCUACCUAAAUUUCCAAAUAAUUCAAGUCAAUUUGAAUAUUCCUCCAAUGACUUCAAAUGUCUAAAAAAAUAUAUAUUUACCUUGUUUCUCUUUCGCACCUUAUCACAUUAUUUUUGUAUGACCAAGAGUCCAACAGAAGAGUUAAAAAUAUCUUUUUAGGAAAGAGUCAAUGAUAGAAAUUUGUAUGACCAACAAAUAAUGUUCCUAAUUUUUCUUUCUCCUGUUAAAAUCAUGAUAGGGAUUCAUAUGACCAGGAAAAAAAAAUCUUAGGGUAAAUUACACUUUUGGUCCUCAAAUUAUAAUGUUGGUGACAUUUUGAUUUUCAAAGUUUAAUUUAUGAUAACUUCUGGUUAAAACUUUAUAAAUCAUUACAAUCAAACUACAGAAUCUAAUUUACUUGUCUAAGUAUUAACGUAUUGCCGUUGUGGACGUAACGUGACAUCUUGCUUAUUGUCCUGUCAUCAUUCAUAACAAUAUCACAUCAUUUGCAUAUUUGCGACACAUUAAUAUUUAUUCAACUAAAUUGGGAUGUGGAGUUUGAUUGCAACAACUUAGAUAAUUCGAGUGACACAUUGUAACAAAUUAAAGUUUAAGGAUCAAAUCGUAUCCCUGCCCGAUGGGUCUACAUUCAUCCCUGAAUGUCGUCGGGUACUCUUCACUUCCCCGCCAUUCUUGUAACCGUCACCUGUCAUCCGCGCAGGUGUGUCCGCACCCCCUGGAGUGGACGAGAAAGAAAGGAUUUCUCGGAGCAACCCCCCUGGUUCCAGACCCAGGAGUUCACUUUCCCGUAUGAGCAUUCGGUACAUGUAUAAGUCCGUGGAAGAGUAAAAGGGUCAUCACUACUGAGGAUCUCCCCCCUAAUCUUAGAUGGGUCGUCUGAGGGUUCGCCGCGGUUCAUUGCUGUGCUUACACACUAGGCUACCCUUCUCCGAAAGCUCCGCGGGACCACCUAUCACUAGUCUUCGGCCGGAGGGGUUUAUUGCACAAAAAGGCCGGGACGCCGGCUCCCGCAGAGGGAAGCCCAACGAAUGUCAGAUGCAAAGCCCCGCACCUCAUUAAGAUCAUAUUGGCAUACUCUCCCAAAAAAAAAAGAGCUCUCAUGGUUUGAGACCAAAAUUGUAAUUUAGCUUUUUUGUUUUUAGGCACCUUCUAAAAAUUCUUUUUUCUAGUCAUAUGAAUCUCUAUCAUGAUUUUGAUAGAGAAACCGAAAACCUAAAAACAUUGUUUGUUGGCCAUACAAAGUUCUAUCAUUGACCCUUCCUUCAAAGAAUAGGUAUUUAAGGGAGGACAACGGAUCGGAUACGGUCGGAUAUUUGAUGAAACUGUAUCUUUUUUUUUUUUUUUUAAUACAAAUUCGGAUGUGUAUAUAUUUCGAAUGCUAAAUUUUUGUUAUUAUAUCUGCUAAAAAUGAAUUUGGAUACGAUCAAAUACUUCGUAGGAUUUGAAUAUGGAUCUGAUUUGUAUUUGGGUAUUAUUUUAAUGAGAAUCAACACAUUAUUAUUGUUUGGUUUAGAAAAAUUUAAUUGUCCAAAAAAUUUAUUUAAAAUAGAAUCACAAUUUAAAAUAUAAAAUUAGAUUACACACUCAAAAAUAGAAAAUUUAAAAUUUUAAUUUUAAUUCACUAAUUUGUAUUCGAAAUUUAAUUCUCAAUUUAAAUGUAAUUUUGUUAGUUCAAAUUUGAAUUCAAAUGGUGCAUUUAAUUCACAAUUUAAAUAAUGUCAAAAAUAAAAUUUAAAAAAAUAAAUUUUAAUUAAAGGUUAAAAUCAAAUUUUAAAACUAUAUCUAAAUUUAAAAAUCAAACUUUAUAAUUAUAUUUUAAAACAAACUACACCCUGACCUGAGGAGCUAGCCCCAUACCAUGUAAAUUGUGAACUACAUCACACUCUUUGUUAUUCACCUACAAAAUUUAAUUAUUAAUACUAUUCUAGCCUAGUUCUAAUAACAAAUAUACAUAUUAAUUGUUCAUUAUUCAUAUUUGUAUUCAAUUUUUCGGAUAUCCGAACAAUUUUAAAUUCUUUGAAACUAUAUCAGCAUCCGUAUUCGACUUGAUCCAAAUAUUAUUAAAUAUGUAUGUAAUAAGGCCGGAUAUUAUCUCAUCCAUUUUCGACGCUAGAGAUGCAAACGGAGCAGAUCUAGAGGCAGAAAGGGUCCCCACGUCCCACUCUGCUUCUUGAGUCGAGGUCGAUUUGAAGCAGUUUAACUUUAAUCCUAUUUUAGCGCCCACAUACCGUUCCAUUCGGGGCGAAUCAGGACCGAAACGAACUUUUGGUGGAGUUUACUUUUCACUUGUCUAUUGGUCUUUUUUGAUCCCGCAAAUUCCAACACGAGGUAAGACGAAAGAGUAUACUCCACUACUAGUCCCAAAAAAGACAAAAGAAGAAAGGAUAUAUUGCACUACUAGUCCUUCAAUUUUUAAAUUCGACUUUCAAAACUCUGAACUUUCAACGAUAUUUCAUUUUCAAUUCUGGAUUUUCAGCAGUAUUUUAUUUCAGAUCUUUUUCUUAGAAUAAAAUUUACUGGUUGUACCAAUAGGCAAUAGGCAUCACAGACACGGACACGGACCCGAUGUAUGGAACACGGCACGACUUGGACACGAUGACUAGACAGCUCCAAAAAAAUUAAAACACAGACACGAAAUAGACACCACUAUUAUUAAUAUAAUAAUAUAUAUUUAUUAUAUAGAAAAUAUUAACUUUGUUAAAAUAUUAUUAUAUUUCUGAAUAAAAGUUAAGAAAAUUCUCAUUUAUAUUUGUGAAAAAAAAUUCUCCUUUAUACAUAAUUUAUUAGUAUUAUUCAAAAAAAUUUGUAUGUAUUUAUCAAAAAGCCAAAAUAUCCGUAUACGUUCAAUAACAUUUUGGUUUAGGUCUCCUACUAGAAUAAAAUUUUUUGUUUCUACCUGCUUCAUCUAUGGCUAUGUUUGUUUCGUCAAAAGUAGAGAAAUAUCUAUUUUCACUGCUUCAUUUACUGCUACUUUACCUUCUGUCGAAACUCAAACUCUCCAAAUUAAAAUAGCAUAAUUACUUCAUCCCACCUCAGGCCUAAGUCAAUUAUGAAAAAAAAAAUGUAAGAAAAGGAAUAAAAAAAUAUUAAUUUAAUUCUAGCACCUCUAACAUUAUGUCAUUAACUUCCUGCCAUACGAAUAAUAAAAAUGGAAGAACUUCAAUUCCACGGCUAUACAAACAAAAAGCAAAAAAAAAAAAAAAAUUAUCUGAACUAUAAUUCACUCGUAAGUCUACCUCAAUCUGAGCUUCAUCCUUGGUGAAACAAAUAAGCCCUAUAUGCCUGGACGACACAACUCUGUGACAUCCCAAUAGUCCCAGAUUGAAUGAAAAUAAGAUUGUGAUUGGACAUAUAAGACAUCAUGAAGAUUAGUAAUAAUAAUUAAAGUAGGGCUACUAUACUCUUAUGAGUAUAGAACCCUUUGUACUCAUAAGUUAUUUUCGAUGUUGGGGUUUUCGAAUCGACAAUCCACACCGUUAAACAUGAUCUAGAAUAUCUGAAACUUCUAGAAAAUAAAUUUUGUAAUUUUUUGAAANCAGUAAAUCUUUACAACGAGUGCUUUUUCUCAUUCAAUCGAAUAAAGAGUAAAAUCUAACUAUAUUGUUCUAUUAUGCCCCGAGAGUGUAAAUUUGGAACGAAUCGAUGUCAACAUUCACAAGAACCAAAAUCGGAAGAACAUUAGACUACUCGGUUGCACCCUAACAGUAUAACUUUGCAACGAGUACUUUUUCUCAUUUAAUCGAACAAAGAGUAAAACAUAAUUAUAUUGUUCUAUUACGCCCCGAGAGCGUACAUUUGCAACGAUUUGAUGUCAACGUUCACAAGAACCAAAACCGAAGCAACACAAGAUUACUUAGUUGCGCCCUAACAGUAAAUCUUUACAACGAGUGCUUUUUCUUAUUCAAUCGAAUAAAGAGUAAAACCUAACUAUAUUGUUCUAUUAUGCCCCGAGUGUGUAAAUUUGGAACGAAUCGAUGUCAACAUUCACAAGAACCAAAAUCGGAAGAACAUUA
rnacentral:lncRNA from 1 species